rnacentral:lncRNA from 1 species
UCCAUAUGAACCUAUUUAUAUUGCGUACGUGCCACUGAAGAAAAAAAAACUUUAUUUAUAAAUGACGCGGCACCGUUCAUGCAUGGUUCCCGACCCUCCAUUAUUUAUAAGUGAGUAACUACUCGUACUAGACGCGUCAAAUUAUCCCGUCGGCUGCAUCAUUGUACAGAAAUGAGCUCCACCGUGUCACGUGUGUGGUUGGGAAGACGCAAAAGACACAAAGAGUGCUACUAGUACUACGUGCAUGGGUGCGUGCACCUCUUCUCUUCGAGCAUGGUUAUUAAAAGUAUAGCCCACUACUCUACCGCGGUUAUUAUAUGGGCAAAGAGUAUAGGCAAUAGGCAGUAAUAAUGACUAAUAAGCCGUCAAAUCACGAGGCCCAUGAGGGAGUCCUGGACUAAGGGGUCCUCGGGCGUCCGACCUAUUAUGCAUGGGUCGGACUGAUGGGCCGUGAAGAUACGAAGACCGAAGACUUUCUCCCGUGUCCGGAUAGGACUCACCAUGGUGUGGAAGGCAAGCUUGGCGACCAAAUAUGAAGAUUCCUUUCUUUGCAACCGACCUUAUGUAACCCUAGAUCCCUCCGGUGUCUAUAUAAACCGAAGGGCUAGGUCCAUAGAGGCCAAUCAAUCAUCUUAACCAUAGUCUUACAGGCUAGACUUCUAGGGUUUUAGCCAUUACGAUCCCGUAGUAGAUCAACUCUUGUAAUAGUCAUAUUCAUCAAGAUCAAUCAAGCAGGAAGUAGGGUAUUACCUCCAUAGAGAGGGCCCGAACCUUGGUAAACAUUGUGUCCCUUGUCUCCUGUUACCAUCGACCUUAGACGCACAGUUUGAGACCCCCUACCUGAGAUCCGCCGGUUUUGACACCGACAUUGGUGCUUUCAUUGAGAGUUUCGCUGUGACGUCGAAGACAGGGUUGAUGGCCCACCUUGUUGUCAAGGAUAAUAUCACCUCCGGAGGAGCCCUGGCUCCGGGCCAAACCCUCUGACUUGGAGGCUUUACCAUGACUGCCUGUUCGGCCGUUAAGCCGACGAUGACCUCUCAAGUCAUCGAAAAUCGUCUCCGCGUUGACUCUGAAUACUCCAAACGGAUGGAUCCGACGGAGUUGUCGUCUUUAAACAAACUCCUAGAUCGCAUCGCUGCCUUGGGGGUCGCUACAGACUACGAUCGGAUUGGGCUUAAACCUGAUCGGAGAGAAAUCAAAUCUCCGCCGAUCACCCAUCAGAUAGCGGUAGUGGAGGAGCAAGACAAUAACUCUUCCCCUAUAUUGAGGACGAACUAUGUUCGGAUUUCCGAUCUCAAGGGGCCGGAUACCUGUCCGCGGAACAACGCGCCCUGCCCUCCGAACCUAGAAUCGAACGACGGGCCUAAAACGUCAGUUGAUAUCCCGGAGUCUGAACAUUAAGUUUGGAAGAUUUACAAACUCCGGAUCCCAAAUCGGGUCAGGGUUCAGAUUUAAAACCACCCACCCACCCAGCUAUACGCGAUCUUAUGUACAUACGACAGCAGUCUCAGGAAACGGUCCAUCACUUUUGGGCCAGAUUCCUCCUUGUCAAAGACAAGAUUAAAGAUUGCCGCGAUGAAGACGUGAUCUCACUAUUCUGCAACAAUUGCAUGGACGAAGGAAUCCUCAACGCCAUCAACCGCCGUCGCGUAUUACACUUCGCUGACUUGGCAACCAUAGUACAGAAGUACUGCGCAAUGGAAAGCGCCUGGAAAACUCAGGCAGCUCGUUGGGAACCACCGGCUUCAACUCAGCCCCUCGUCCGGCCAAAAAGGAUGCACCCUCGUGGGGCGCCUGACCCAAUAGUAAAGAAAUCAAAGCCCAUUAUGGGGCGCGGAACUGUUCUGGAGGGAUGGCUCGACAGGCCAUGCAAAAUACAUACAACACCGGACACCACACCAACCCAUAGCCUUAGAGCAUGUUGGAUACUCCGGCAAGUGGCCAAGAGCAGCGAAGAUCUCCUCACCAAAAAUACCCCAGAACAACACCCCCCGGAAGAUGACGACCUCAGAGUAUUGACGGCCUUCGAGACUUUUGCUUCAAAAAAUCAGCGCAAAAGGGCACUCCGCGACCUCGCCGAAGUCUGCCAAGUCGCAGCAAUAAACCCCUGGAACGACACGGCCAUAACUUUCAAUGCCGAUGACGAACCAAAAUUCAGGACAGUCCGGGCACCAGCCGCCUUGGUCCUCAGUCCAAUCGUCGACGGCUUCCGGCUCACCAAAGUGCUCAUGGACGGCGGCAGCGGACUAAACCUCAUCUACAAGGACACACUCAUAAAAAUGGAUAUAGAUAGGAGCCGCCUUGAGCAAAGUAGCACAACCUUCCGGGGAAUCAUUCCCAGUAGGGAGGCGCGAUGCGCGGGAAAAAUCACGCUCGACAUGGUAUUCGGCACGCCGGAGAAUUAUCGGUCCGAAGAGAUAACCUUCCAAGUGGCCCCUUUCAACAGCGGAUAUCAUGCCCUACUGGGGCGAGAUGCAUUCACACGCUUCCAAGCUAUACCUCAUUACGGGUACAUGAAGCUCAAGAUGCCCGGGCCCAACGGUACCAUCACUCUUGCUAGUGAUCCGGACAUAGCACUGUGCGCCGAAAAUAAAACCGCAUCCCUGGCCCUUGAGGCAUUGUCUGAAGCCCUCGCGGCCGAAGAGCUGACUGCGCUGCGCUCCACUGUGGAUAGGGAUGACGUAAUCCUGGACAAGCGACCCAAAUCCACCUCCUUUAAACCAGCAGACGAAAUAAUCAAAUUUCAAGUCCACCCGAUGGACCCCAAGAAGACAGCAUCCAUCGGGGCACAACUCGACCCAACGGUCGAUGCCGCGCUACGAGAGUUCCUGCGCGAGAACUGGGACAUAUUCACCUGGCACCCCUCUGAUAUGCCAGGAAUCCCACGCAGGUUGGCCGAACACAGCCUUAAUAUCUUGAAGGGAUAUAAACCAGUCAAGCAAACAUUGGGGCGUUUUUCUGAACCUAAACGACAAGCCAUGGGAGAGGAUCUAGCCAAGUUACUGGAGGCCGGAUUCAUCAGAGAAAUAAAACACCCGGACUGGCUAGCAAACCUGGUGAUGGUACCAAAGAAGGAGAAAUCCUGGCGCUUGUGCGUCGAUUUCAAAGACCUCAACAAGGCCUGCCCUAAGGAUCCCUUCCCCCUCCCUCGCAUUGAUCAGAUUAUUGAUGCGACCGUAGGACACGACUCACUGUGUUUCCUCGAUGUGUACUCCAGAUACCAUCAAAUCAAGAUGAAGGAGUCCGAUCAAGCCGCAACGGCAUUCAUUACCCCAUAUGGGCCUUUCUGCUUCAACACUAUGCCUUUUGGGCUCAAAAACGCUGGCGCCACUUACCAACGCAUGAUUCAAACAUGCUUGGAGAAACAGAUCGGCAAGACAGUUGAAGCAUAUGUGGAUGACGUCAUCAUCAAAACCAGGCACAUCGAGUCAUUGAUAGACGAUCUAUGUCUUACAUUCGACAACCUCCGUACAUAUGACAUCAAGCUCAAUCCGGAAAAGUGUGUUUUUGGCGUCCCCGCCGGAAAACUGCUGGGCUUCAUCGUUUCCAAUAGAGGAAUUGAGGCAAAUCCAACCAAAAUCCGAGCUUUGUCACAAUUGGCUACACCAACAGACCUUAAACAGGUCCAAAAACUUGCGGGAUGCAUGGCAGCUUUAAGCCGCUUUAUCUCUAGAUUGGGAGAAAAAGCAUUGCCACUACCGCCUUCUCCGACGCACCGACCACUUCAAGUGGACGGAUGCGGCAACGGCUGGACUGGAGGAAAUAAAGGCCCUUUUAGCGAGCAACCCAAUCCUGGCCACACCGAACGUCGGCGAACCCAUGUUAUUAUACAUAUCGGCAACACACCAGGUGGUGAGCGCCAUGCUCGUUGUUGAGCGAGAGCGGGACGGGCACGAGUUCCCACUCCAGAAACCGGUAUACUAUGUAUCCACUAUCCUCACACCAUGCAAUCCCGGUACCCCCAUUACCAAAAAAUAGCAUACGCGGUCUUCAUGGCAUCCCGGAAGCUACGACACUACUUUCAAGAGUGCUCAAUCACGGUGGCCUCCGAAGUACCACUCAAUGACAUAAUAAACAACCGCGAUGCGACAGGCCGGAUUGCUAAGUGGGCCAUUGAGCUCCUUCCAUUCGACAUAACAUAAAAACCGCGCCGGGCCAUCAAAUCCCAAGUACUGGCUGACUUUGUCACCGAAUGGACAGAGGCCGAACUCCCUAAAGAGUACGACACAUAUUCCAACUGGGUUAUGUACUUCGAUGGUUCCAAGAUGCUGGCGGGAUUAGGGGCGAGCGUUGUCCUAACGUCCCCCACUGGAGACGUAGUUCAGUACGUACUCCAAAUAUUAUACACAGACUCCAACAAUGCAGCCGAAUAUGAGGCCUUGUUGCAUGGACUUCGGAUGGCUGUCUCCAUGGGCAUACAACACCUGGAAGUGCGCGGGGACUCAAACCUCGCACUAUCUCAAAUAAAUGGAGAUUUCGAUGCCAAAGAUCCGAAAAUGGUAGCUUACCGCAACACCGUUCUUAAAAUCUUGACCCGUUUCGAAGGGCUCGAGUUCCAUCAUGUGGCUCGAGAAACUAAUCAAGCGGCGGACGUCCUUGCUUGCAUCGGCGCCAAGCGCGACCCCGUCCCACCUAACAUCUUUCUAGAAAGGUUUUUCAAGCCGUCCGUGGUAUGGCAAGGGUAGAGCGACAACAACAGUCCGGACGCAACUAUAACCUCAGAUGCCGAACACACCGAUAUCAUCGGGGGCUCAGCCACCGAAAUAACACCGUCGGCCCAUCUCAUAAUGGCAGUCAUUGCCCCAUGGACCGAACCCUUCUUGGCCUACAUUAAUAGGCGAGAACUCCCUGAGGAUCAGAAUGAGGCUCGCCGCAUUGUCCGGCGCUCUAAAGCCUACAAAGUCCACGAUGGGGAAUUCUACAAGAAAAGCGCUACCGGAGUACUCCAAAGAUGUAUCUCCGAGGAAGAGGGGCGGUAGCUCUUGGCUGACAUUCAUGCCGGUCUCGGUGGUCACCACGCCGCGACUUGGGCCCUUGUAAGCAAGGCCUUCCGUACAGGUUUCUAUUGGCCGACGGCCCGAGCAGACGCACAAGACCUUGUCCAACAUUGCGUCGGAUGCCAGCUUUUCGCCAACCAGAGCCAUAUGCCACCCACCGCUCUACAAACAAUCCGCAUCACUUGGCCUUUCGCGGUCUGGGGGCUUGAUAUGGUUGGACCCCUUAAAGGAGGAAACCAUAAGAAAAAAUAUCUGCUGGUCAUGGUGGAUAAAUUCACUAAGUGGAUAGAGGCCAAACCAGUUAAAACGGCUGAGUCCGGACCAGUGAUAGACUUUAUAUCCGGCAUUGUACACCGCUAUGGUGUCCCACACAACAUCAUCACCGAUAAUGACUCUAAUUUCACAGACGAUGAGGUGAAAAACUGGUGCGCCAAUCUGGGCAUUAAGCUCGAUUACGCCUCCGUCUAUCACCCGCAAACAAACGGUCAAGUCGAACGAGCCAAUGGUCUUAUUAUGAGCGGCAUCAAGCCUAGACUGGUGCGGUCUUUGAAAGAAUCAGACAAGCACUGGGUUGAGGAGCUCGACUCCGUACUCUAGGGGCUGCGGACCACGCCCAAUCGCACUACCGGAUAUACACCCUUCUUCAUGGUGUACGGCGUAGAGGCUGUGUUACCCUGCGACAUUAUUCAUGACUCACCUCGAGUGCGCAUGUACGAAGAGAGAGAGGCCGAGCUUGAUCGGCAGGACAGCUUAGAUGCCCUGGAGGAGGAGCGCGAUGUUGCAAAAGCCCGUUCCGCAUUUUAUCAACAGCAGGCUCGCAGGUACCAAAGCAGAGAAGUGCGGGCCAAGACUUAUAAUGUUGGCGAACUUGUUCUACGCCUGCCGGAGAAGAAAAAGGACAAACUCAAGCCCAAGUGGGAGGGUCCCUUCAUCAUUGACAAAGUUCUCACCGGAGGAGCGUACCGCCUGCGUGAUGUGUCAGACAAUCGCCUAGAGCUGAACCCCUGGAACGCGGCCAGACUCCGAAGAUUCUAUGCCUAGCGCCGGACUCUUUGUUCGUCUCCUUCUCCCUAUUGUUUCCAUUACUUUUGCCUCUCUUUUCUCUUUUUCCUUUCUUAGCCUUAAAGUUUUCCAUGCGGCUAAACCGUGCGCUUGUGAUAUACAAAUAGUCAAUUAUACCUGGGGGCUUCUUUGACAGAAGCUUAUUAUUGUUAUUUUUCGAGCAUCAAGCUCAUCACAUAUGCGCGUGUUCCCCAUAUGUACCUUUUCUUCGCCAUUAUAUGCAUCGAUGUGACUUAAGUUUUGGGCAAGCUGGGUUGCCUGGCUCCUGUGCUUAUGCCCUACGUUCCCGUUAGUUCAGCUAGGGCAUAAAGGGAGCACCUCUGCGAUUGUUACUGCCGGGUCAUCCGGAUGUGUACCUCAGACCGGGUGAAGCCGAAAGCUAGCGUUCUUAAGGGAAUAUUCGGUCGGCGAACUAAAGAUGUUUUUACAGUCAUUAAAAUAUGAACCCCCAGAUGUUGAAUAUACUGCGAUUUUUUCAAUCACAGUUCGGACGUGCACAUUAACACAUGUAUACCCAGGGAAAGGAACCCUUAACGGAACUAUUCUCUCUGGAAGAUGUUUCUUACAAUCACAAUGUAAUAUAACAUAGCUAGCUGAAUACAACUUGUCUGUUCAAGCAAUUAUGACCCCUACGCCUGGUUUCCACGCAUACCCCGGUAUAUUUUGCCGCCCAAGUAUUCGGAAACACUCUGCACCUUCGGGUCCAGAGGUCGAAGCGAAAAGGUCUGCCAUGACGAUCGCUUUAUAGUCCGGCUAGGGACAAAUAAGUCAAGGAAAGUACAUAGUCACUUGGACUCAUAAAUUUCCUCCUCUAUACUGCCUAACAAGCUGUCUAACUUACAAUCCUGUUGGGAAUAUCUGGCAGCUACUUCUACUUGGUCAUAUACUAAAUUCACGGGAAUUUCUUUCCCAUCUAACCCUAGAGGUCCGACCCGGGCCAUAUGAUUUGGAUCAAGCUUGGUAUACCGUGUUUUUACCAUGGCCCAGGCUUCUCGCGCACCUUCCUGGCAGGCCGAUAUCUUCCAUAAUCAGAAGCGCCGCCGCGCUCCCUUGAAUAGCUCUAUAAGCUCCUCCAUCCUUCCUGGAGGGGAGGCGGAUGGCCAUAAAGCCUUGGCAACACUUCGCAUCGCCUGCCGAGCUUGCUCGUGCAUUUGCGACAGCUCUUGUAGCAGAUCGCCCGAGACUCCGGACAUCUCCUCUUCGGGACGGCCGGUCAGCAUACCUACAGAUAUAAUUCUGUCAGUCCCUUUACUCUCCGAACUACACGGAGUUAAGUGCGACCACAUACCAAAUAUGCCGCCGCGUAGCCUCUUAUUUUCCUUUACGUAAUCAGCCAGCUGGGCCCGUACAUCUUUCAGUUCUUCGCCCAGCUGGGUGUGGGCAUCCUGCAGCUUGUUUUUCUCAUCUCUGACUCGUGUCAGCACACGUUCGCCCGCGGCCAGCAGUCUUUUGGCUUCUUGUUCUUCCGCUUGGGCGGCUUUCAGUUGCUCCUUCAGUUGAUCUGACGAUCCUGCCAUAAGAUGGGCAACAGUGUUAGCAUUACCGGUAUACAAUUAUGCUUUCUCGAUGGAGGGGAACAUUACCAGGUGAUGCCUUCUUGGAUUUCUCCAGUUCGGCGGUAGCAGCAGUUAGCUGGGUCCGGCACUUUUCCAGUUCCUGAGACAACAGGUCGUUAUUCUCCGACAACACCUGGUUAUACAAUGAUCCUUAAAUCAGUUGUAUCAACUACUUCAAGUCUCAGGGGCUACUGGUAUAUAAUUAUCUGUUUUGUAUAAUAAACUUACCCGCAUAUCUUUUAUACGUUGGUCUGUGGCUCUGGCAAGCCCGUCUCGAGCAGCUUGGCUAUAUGCAUCAGCCGAGCUGAAGGCAUUGAAUGCCUCGUUUGUAAAGCCGGGGUCGCAUAGAAUGGCUCUUCGGCGCCGAUGAUUCAUGGCGCUCUCCACUUCUGAGUUUGUGACGGAUACAUCAUCCGACUCCUCCGCCGAAGGUUCCGGCGUCACUCCCGCAUCAGCCCUUGCCUUUAAAGCAGGGUCGGGAACCUGACUCGUGGAGGCGCGGCCGGCGGGAUCCCCGGACAUAGUCCAGCGAACGCUUUUCCUGAUAAAACACAGCAGAUAAUGUCACAGUUGGAUGUGACUGCCAAGGGGCAUAUUCACAAAUCAAUACCUCUUCGAUGAAGGCUCAACCGCGUCUUCGUUAGCCUUCCUCUUCGAAGGCUUGCCCGGUGUAGGGGCCGCUCUCUUUGGAGUCGCCUCUUGGGUAUCAUGGCGUGCCGAACGCCUCCCCUUUUGAGCAAGAGACAAUGCGGUGGGUGAGGCAGAACGAGGGAACUCUUUCGGAGGAGAUGUCUCCUGAUUACUUACGUGUGAAGCAGGGAGAAGACCGGGGUAAUCGGCGGUGAUGGCCACUUUCGUGCCGUCAUAACUCGCCUGGUAAAACACUCCGUCCUCGAGCACCACGAAUAUAUCCGGAUCCUCUUCAAAUCCGGGGUCAAGGUCCCGGUUGUGGCCCUCUGGCUGCGGGGCGGGGCUGUGAAGCCCCUCGGAGAUCUUUCGCCAGUGCUGUUAUAAAUGUACGGAUUAAUAUUCAUUGAAAGUGGCUCAUGGAGUGGAGUGAGUAAAGCAGAGGGGUUGGGCCUUACCCAGCUAGGAGGAUUGUACAUGGAAAAACCAUCUCUGCGCUUGAUACGAAGAAAUUCCUCCUCCUCCCCUUUGAACAGCUCGGCCAAUAUUUUGGCCAGAUCGGCGGGGGUGUCCGGACCCUUCCGGCCACAGCGGGAGGCGUCAUCCUCCCCAUUGUAGUGCCACAUGGGAAUCCCUCUGUAUUGGAGUGGCUGAACCCCCCAUACUAUGGAAGUCGCCAUUACCUCGACUAUUGAUAAUCCGGGCAAGCGUCUUUAUCUUGCUCAUAACUUGACGAACUUCCGCACUAUCUUCCUCCUCGAGGCUUCGAGGGCGCCAACUGUGGCGUUUCUUCAAAGGAACGCUUGUGAACUCGGGAAGACCCCUCCAAACUGGGUCAGGAAGUGCGAAGUCCUCGAUAUAGAACCAUUCGGAAGGCCAUUCUUCAGAUGCUUUCUUCGGUGUGCCGGACAGGUAUCCGGUCUCGGCGAUGCGCCAUACCUUGGCUCCGCCCACUUCAAAUAUGGAUCCCUCGUAGUUAUGCGGGACGAGACAGAAGAGCUUUCUCCACAAUUCAAAAUGGGCCUCACACCCCAGGAACAGCUCACAAAGGGCCACGUAACCCGCGAUGUGCGGGAUGGAUGCGGGACUGAAGUUGUGCAGUUGGAGGCCAUAAUACUCCAGAAGCCCUCGGAGGAACAGAUGAAUUGGAAAUCCGACACCUCUUAGCAGAUAAGGGACGAAGCACACUCGCUCCCCCCUAGAUGGGUUGGGUUCUCCGACUGGGCCUUGUCAUUGAAGGAGGUCAACCCUGCCCGAACAGGGACCAGAUCCGCGGGGGGAAGAAAUCCCUGUGUUUGCAGCUUCACUAGCUGACCGUGGGAUACGAAACAUUUCUCCCAAUCGCCUUUUUCUGGGAUGCAGGGACGGGAGGAAGAGCUGGGAGUGCUAGCCAUGUGGGAGUGGCUUUUCCUAGCAAGCUCUGAGGAUUUUUCCGCGUGGUGCUGAAUGGAUCUGAGAUCCAAUCUCUUUAAAUAGACAUUCCUCCUUGCAUGGCCGGGGUGUUAUGUGUAAACACACCCUGACCUCACGCAUUCGCUCGACACGUGGAAGCUGGAAUUGUUGAUGUGCAGAAGCCAAGGGGUACGACAUUAAAUGGAAGGCUGAAUACAUCACUUUGAAGUCAUCGGAGGAAGAACCCGCCUUGCAAUGCCGAAGACAAUCUGCGUGCCGGACACCUCAUCAUUGAAGCCUGGUUCGGGGGCUACUGAGGGAGUCCUGGACUAAGGGGUCCUCGGGCGUCCGACCUGUUAUGCAUGGGCCAGACUGAUGGGCCGUGAAGAUACGAAGACCGAAGACUUUCUCCCGUGUUCGGAUAGGACUCACCUUGGCGUGGAAGGCAAGCUUGGCGACCAAAUAUGAAGAUUCCUUUCUUUGCAACCAACCUUAUGUAACCCUAGAUCCCUCCGGUGUCUAUAUAAACCGAAGGGCUAGGUCCGUAGAGGCCAAUCAAUCAUCUUAACCAUAGUCUUACAGGCUAGACUUCUAGGGUUUUAGCCAUUACGAUCUCGUGGUAGAUCAACUCUUGUAAUACAUUCAUCAAGAUCAAUCAAGCAGGAAGUAGGGUAUUACCUCCAUAGAGAGGGCCCGAACCUGGGUAAACAUUGUGUCCCCUGUCUCCUGUUACCAUCGACCUUAGACGCAUAGUUCGGGACCCCCUACCCGAGAUCCGCCGGUUUUGACACCGACAGCCCACCUUUCUCUAUGUUUGACCGAGGAAGCAGCCAUCAUUUCACUCCUCGUUGAAUAUCCACCCGCUGCUACCUCCGCAAAUAAAUAAAAAUCUGCUUCUACCUCCGUAACAUGGUUAAUAAUAUAGCCAUGUCCAUCACGACAUAGAAAUAUCAUUCACUGAUACAAUAGGGCUGGCUCUAAGGCUGGUGAUUUUUUUUACUUUGUCUCUUUCUCUUUUUGUCACACGUGCUCAUUUUACAUAGGAGCACGUGUAGAGGAUGGCUAUUCCUUUCGAUGGGACUUCUUCAUGGGGUUUAAGACUAAGCAUCUCCGAAUUAUGCCCGCUACCCACCACUCUGAAUUGUGCCAUCUAUGAUAGUACUCCCAUUGCAACAAUGAGGUCCACUAGGUCUAGCACGUCCUGUAAGAAGAGACUGUCACGCAAAACAUACAUCUUGUUGCCUUCUUCCUCAUACAGUACGUACCACUAGUAUGUACUACUAGUACUACUACUGCUCGUUCUCCUAUAAUCCUUGCUCUUGGCAUCUCAAAAAUAUUAACCUUGCGCUUGGCUCUUCGCCUCUUCGAGAAGUCAAGCAAUAAUGGUACUACAGUAUAUCGUUCUGGCUAUUUGAGACCGAACGAAUUGCUGCACAUCCACCACGUGGGCGAGGGUUGAGCGAGGGCCGAGGGGAAAGGGAGAGUGCGUACUAGUACGUCCGUUUCAAUAUGGACUACAUACGGAGCAAAAUCAGUGAAUCUACACUCUAAAAUAUGUCUAUAUACAUUAGUGUUUGGAGUAUGUACUAGUAGUUCAUAUUAAAAUCUACUAAAAGACAUAUAUUUCAAACAAUAUGAUAAUCUCUCUAACCAAGGUAGGGACGAGGAGUAACGGAGGGAGUAGUAAAAUUUUCUCCUCGUCCUGCGAGCCACCGCGCGCGUGGGCGAGGGAGCGGGCGUAGGCGUAGUAAGCAAGCUUCUCCUCGUCCUGCGACUCUGUGAGCCACCGCGCCCGUGGGCAGGGGAGACGACGUACUAAGCAAGCUUCUCCUCGUUCUGCGAGGUGCCGGGACACAUCAAAAGUAACACGUACAGAGCAUCUCCAGUGUAUAGAGCGUUGCCUCUAACGUAGGCCCCACAUGGUUUGCCUCUUUAUUUAACAUAACACGUCAAUCGCAAUUUGUUUGUUCACCCGUGGUACACGAUCCUCCAUCAAGUGGACAACCAGUACACAUGUCAAAUUACCAUGUGGGCUGCCUUUUCGUACAGAAAUGAGCUCCACCGUGUACCCGCACGGGUGUGGUUGGGAAAGAGACGGGAGUAUGUGCAUCGUGCGUGCACCUCUUCUCUUCGUGCACGUCCCCCACCUACGUGGGUGUGUGUGAGAGAGAUACAAACCUAGACAGAUGGCGUGUGCGUUCGUGAGUGUUUUUUGUUGGGGGAGUGAUUUCGUGAGUGUAUUUGUGGGAAUAUGUGUCGAUGAUAUCUCAAACAAAAAUUUGACACAUGCAAUGUGUGUGAAAUGGAGGCCUAUCUAUAUCAUAUAUAGAGGGGGCAAUCGACGAGAAGAGAGGGAGGGGUCAUAGAUAUUGAGUCGAAGAGAGGAUCAAGUGGGUGGGUGCGAGAUCGAUGAAGAGAGCCAUCGAAAUUGUGUGUGUGCAAGUCAAAGAUAUUGGGCGACAGACCUAGUGGAACGUCAGAGGGCACAAGGCAAGUUUGUGUGUGGCAGGGAGACAUGACUGGAGCGCUCGAUGUAUCGGUGUGUGUGGGGGGAGGGGGAGGCAGAGACCUAACUAGAGAGGUAGAUCGACUCGUAUAUGUGUUGAGAAAGAGAGACCCGGCUAUGUCUUGAGGGAGAUUGGUCGACAUCCAUACAUAAGUGAAGGACGGGAAAUAGGUUGGGACAGAGAGAGAGAGAGAGAGGAGAGAGAGAGGGAGAGGGUAGAGUGUUGGAUGGGUGGUGGAGUUGCUUCUCGAAGAUGGUGGGAGAGGCCUACUAGACAAACUGAGGGUAGAACUGCAAUAUUAUCAAUAAGAGUGGGGAUGUGUUUCUGUGUGUGCGUGUGCGUGAUAGAUUUGUCGGGAGGCAUGCAUGGAUGAUGAAGGGGGGCCAUGUGUUUGGUAAGCAGACCUAACUAGAUCGGUAGAUCAAUUGUUGUGUGUCGGAGGAAGGGAGAGACAUAACUAAUGAGGUAGAUCGAUCGGCGCGUGGGGAAAGCGAGUUAUAACGACCUAGCUAGCUAUAUGUAUAACGGGAGAUCGGUUGGUGUACAUCCAUUUGUUAGAGGCACAUAAGGCCUAGCGAGACGGAUAGACAGAGAGAAUGGAGCUAGGAGGUGGUGCGAGAGGCCUACUAGCUAGAUAGGGGGAGGAGUGUGCGAUUGUGAGAUCGAUGAAAAGAGGGGCGAGAGUUUACACGUGUGUGGGACCGUAUGAGAGACACGAGGCAAGGAUACAGAAAGGAGGAGAUGGAAGGUGCGUGUGUAUGUGGUAGGCAGACAUCGCUAGAGAGGUUUAUCGAUCGGUGUGUGUCGAAAAGGAGUUGUGGAGACCGUGGGAGAACGACCUAAAGAAAAAAAUGAAUGUGCGCGAUGGAUAGAAUGCUGAGGGAGGGGGAGGGCGUGUGCAUGCACGAGAGAAAAUUAGUGCUAGCUACAAAGGUUAGAGGAUUGUGUGGGUGUAAGAGACUAAACAAAGAUCAUAAUUCGAUAUGAAAGUGGAUUCAUAUAUUUGAAUAGGAGGUCAUAGUGUUAUAAACAUAUGCAUGCAUGAAUAUAGCGGUGAUACGCAUGGUGUGGUUUUGGACAUGUUAUACCAUAAUGUGAUAAUGUGUGGCAUUUGCAACUCAUAGCUAAAUAUCGAACAAUCUAAACCAUACUAUACAUCGAACAAUCUCACACUUAAUUUGAAUUUGUGAUAAUGUGUGGCGUUUGCAGCUCACAACUAAACCAUACUAUAUAUCGAACAAUCUCACAUUUUAUUUGAAUUUGUGAUAAUGUGUGGUGUUUGCAACUCACAUCUAAAUACUUGUAGGCAUAGGGGGCGGGGCACCAUACAUUAUGUGAUAAACACAUUAUACAUAUGAGACAUGGUUUAGAUUAUGAAGAUCUGGCUAGAGCUUGAAAUGUACUAUGAUUUGAAAACAACAUAAAGUGGAUUCAAAAAAUUGAGUUCGAGUUCAUAUAGUACACAUAGUUCAUAUCUAACUCGACAGUAAUCAUGUGGUGUGCUGUGAAAAUAAUAUACAAACGAUGGUUUAACUUGACAAUAAUGAUGAUUGUAGAUCUUAUUAAAAUAGAGAAACGAAUUCAAAUGGUUUAACUUGAUAACAAUCAUGAUUGUAGAUCUUAUUCAAAUAGAGAAACGAGUUCAAAUUUAGUUCAUAUUGAAGCGGUAGUAUAUACGUUUGGAAUGCACUAAAAUGUUCAUUUGAGUAACAGGUUGCAUGCAUUAUACACGUAGCAAAAUAUUUUAAUUGAACAUAACAUGUAUUCAAAGUUUUGAAUGACAUUUGUAGUGCGAAUUGAUUUGGUGCAGUACACGGGACUAGACUCUCUUGUGUGGUGCGAAUUGAUUUCUUUUUGUUUUUUCGUCGAGGGAAGUGCGAAUUGAUUUGGUACAAAACACGUUAGGCUUGUCUGGAAAUUUCAACCCGGGCCUUGUUACCCUGAAAUAUUUAAGAUAUAUCUUUGUCUCGUUGUGCUCCGAAAACUCCCUCCAUCUCAACCCGCGCCUUGCUAUCCCAAAAUUACAACGUGCGCGAAAACUCCCACCUUCUGCGAAAUCCCGAUACGCGAAAUGCCCGUGAUACCCCUGGAUCAAAAGAACCGCCUAGCUCAAAUAGGUGGGGGUACUUUCGUAACAUACCCCAUGUUUUGGAAAAGCGCGUCCCUAAGACAUGGUUCCCCCUCCCAUCCCAUCCACCCACUCAUUCGUACACCGAGCCCGUCAAAACCCGCGAAGCCCCACAGCCUCCUCCGUCCGCCACCCAACCGGAGCCUCUUCCCCGAUGAUGUCGUCCACAGCAAUACCUCGACGUCCCUCAUCCACCACACCAGAUGAGGAUUCGUCGUUCGUCUCGCCGUCCCGCCAGUUCAGCCAUCCCGUCCUCCACCUCCAAGGAGCUGCCCCGACGUUCCCCUCGUCUUUCGCGCCACCUCCAUUCCCACACCGCCGUCUUCACCUGCACCACCGGAAGAGCAUCAUCAUCACCGAUUCCUCGGAUGAAGCUGAGGCCUAAUCAGCGCCACCAAAGAGGUUCUACACUAAUUGCCGCAUUUUCUUCUUGAUUCGAUCUCACGGUGCUGCCGACGCUCGGUCCCGAGCCGACAUGGCGCGCCUCCAUGCACGGCAGCGUCGCCGGCCACUUCCUCCACGGCAUCGCUCCCUCGGCGGUGACGUCCACAUCAGUAGGUGCUGCUGCUGCUUUAGCUCUCGCUCGCGCUACUGCUCUACUCUUGCUCUCGGUCCCCUGCCUGGUCUGCUCUUGCUCUUGCUCGCGCUGCUGCUCUCGCUCUUGCUCUUGCUUGCACUGCUGCUCUCGCUCUUGCUCUUGCCUGUGCUGCUGCUCUACUCUUGCGCGCGUUGCUGCUGCACGAGCAGUAGAUCCUGCUCUCCCUCGAGCCGCUGCAGCUGCUACCCGAGAUGCUGCUACACGACCAGCUGCCCCGGCUCUCACACACGUUGCUGCUCCGGGCGCGGCUGCUGCUGCUACUGCUUUUCUGCUACUAGUGCGUUCUGUUUCGAUGGUAAAAUUCAGUUUCGACAGCAAAAUUCAGUUUCGACAGUUAAAUUCAGUUUCGACAGUUAAGUUCAUAGAUGAGCGGCUGAUGUAUUUUACAUCUAGAACUUUGUGGUUAUGUAUUUUACAUCAUCUAUUGGAGAUGCUAUUAGAAUUCCACUCGGCUUAAUAUUGUCUCUCUUGUCCUGCUUCAGCCUCGCCAUCGUACAACUCACCGAAGUUGCUCCAACGACGAAACCAUCCAUCACAGCGGAGCAGUACCCCAGGCUCCAUCUCCAAAUGCCUAAGAUCUUCUUCCCCUCCUCCGACAGCCAAAUCAGCUGGAGCAUCCUCACCGACCAACCCAAUCACGCUGAGAUCGACAUGGCUUCGCCAAAGAGGUUGUACACUUGUUGCAUCGCUUUUUUACUCUACAUGUUAUAUAUAUUGUCCACUGAGCACACGUAGUAACGAUUAGUUUUUCCUACUAUAUGACAAGCAGUGAGGUACCAGGCAACUUAGCUAUCCGUGAUGGACUCUCUUUAAUGCCAUCAUUAUUUAUUUCUACGCAUUUGAGCUGUGCAGUUGUAGAUGGGCCUGGGAGUUGAGCUAGUAGGGCAGUGGCCUGGGUCUAAAGUAGUAGAAGUAGCACAAAAACAGUGUAGGCUUUUCCCUGCUCAAGCCCGCCUACUAGAAUCGCCAGUGCUUGAAAGGAAAAGUGAAGGAAAAACAUAGGAAUUGGAAAGUUUCCUAUGGUACUACUAUUCAUGCAUUUGGUUCAAAGGAAUGGAGCAAAGGAAAACUGUAGGAUUUGUUCCUUUAUUGUCUCCUUGAAAGAAAAACCGUAGAAAUUUUAAUAUCCACUUGUCCUCCUUUUCAAAUUCCUAUUCAUGAAGCACAAGACUAAGAGAUAGUAGCAUAAUAGCAUUAUAACCAUACAUUUUCUUGUGGUUUAACUUAAUCUCACCAUGCUUCUUUGCAUCCUGUGAUAUUCCAAUUCUUGUGAACCAAACACCCAGAUUGACAAAAAUCCUAUGUUUUUUAAUUCUCUGUUUUGCAUGUGCAUUCCUAUCCUAUUCUCGCGUAUUUCCUAUCCCUGCAUUGUUAGAAUCCUCAAAUUCAAACAAGCCCUUACACAAUUACUUCUGUUAUAGAUAUGUGUCAAAGAAAACCUUGUGUGGUUUGUCCCGCUCCUGCUGCGUCGUCGUCCACCCCACACUACAGGCAUCAGCUACUUUGCCGUCUGCCAUGGCAGACGGCAAAGGCCUUUGUCGUGUGCCGCGGACGGCAAAAGGCUCCGGCAAAGUAGGCUCCGGUAAAGAGCUUCUUUGCCGUCUGCUUUCUGAAGCGGACGGCAAAGGGGCCUUUGCCAUCAGCGGCUGACGACAAAGAAAGCCGACGGCAAUAAAUGUGCUGUUAGUCCGUUAGGCGGCUAACGGCAGCCUUUGCCGUCCGCCGCUGACAGCAAAGAGCAUCUGGCCUUUGCCGUCUGCCACUAUAGGCAAAGUGCUCAAACAUGCCAGUCCCAGGAAGCACAGGUAGCUGCCACGUGGCAUGUUUGCCGUCAGCUAGCUGACGGCAAAGAGCCUGUACAGCCCUGUUUUUAAUUUAAUUCAUUCAAUUUGACAGCAAUUCAUAGAUAUACAGAGAUAUACACAGCAAUUCAUAUAUAUACACAACAAGCAUAUCCAACACACAAGUUUCAUCAUAUAUACAUACAUAACCAACACAUAUAUAGUUCCAUCCUUACAUAUUACAAAAGUUUCACAUUGUUCAUCCUACACCGUUAUCCAUCCAUCCAUAUAACAAGUUCCAACCAUGCAAGUUCAUUGAUACAAAAUAAAAGCACAAAUGGAAAAGAAGCUCUCCAUCGAUGCAAGCUUCCGUGAAUUAAAUCAAAUCUGCAAAAUGAUAAACAAGAUGUUAGAAAAAGAAGAAGAAAAUGAAGAAGAAGAAGAAGAAGAAGAAGAAGACUAUAAGAAAUAAGCAUACUUAAGUAAAAUGGAGCUAACCUAGAAGAAAAUGAAGAAGAAGAAGAAGAAGAAGAAGACUAGAAGAAUACUAGAAGAAGACUAGAAUAAUAAUAAUAAUAAUAAUAAUAAUAAUAAUAAUAAUAAUAAGAAGAAGAAGAAGAAGAAGAAGAAGAAGACUAUAAUUAAGCUUAUUAUGUAAACUUGGUCAUUUUGUGCUAACAUAAGUAAUUUUGGAGUUAACCUAUAGGAAACUAAGCAUAUUAGAGAUAACUUAGCAUAUUAGAGCCAACUUAGGUAAAAUGGAGCCAACCUAGCUAAUUAUGCCAUCUUUGAGUGAACUAAGCAUAUUAGAGCUAACUUAUGUCAUUUUGGAGAAGANNNNNNNNNNNNNNNNNNNNNNNNNNNNNNNNNNNNNNNNNNNNNNNNNNNNNNNNNNNNNNNNNNNNNNNNNNNNNNNNNNNNNNNNNNNNNNNNAAGAAGAAGAAGAAGAAGAAGAAGAAGACUAUAAUUAAGCUUAUUAUAUAAACUUGGUCAUUUUGUGCUAACAUAAGUAAUUUUGGAGUUAACCUAUAGGAAACUAAGCAUAUUAGAGAUAACUUAGCAUAUUAGAGCCAACUUAGGUAAAAUGGAGCCAACCUAGCUAAUUAUGCCAUCUUUGAGUGAACUAAGCAUAUUAGAGCUAACUUAUGUCAUUUUGGAAGAAGAAGAAGAAGAAGAAGACUAUAAGCUUAUUAUGUAAACUUGGUCAUUUUGUGCUAACAUAAGUAAUUUUGGAGCUAACCUAUAGGAAACUAAGCAUAGUAGAGAUAACUUAGCAUAUUAGAGCUAACAUAUGUAACUAAGCAUAUAGAGCUAACAUAGGUAACUAAGCAUAUUAGAGCUAACUAUAUAUAGAUCAUUUUGGAGAUCUGACAUACCUGACAUAGUUCGGUUCUCAUUGUUCUUCUCCUUCUCCUUCCUCAGCCUGAUGCGCCAAGAGCGGCGAGGCGGUGGAGGCAGUGGGAUGUAGUCUUCUACCACAAUUGGCGUGGUCAUGUCACCCAGCUGUGGGAUCGCCGGCGCCACCACCGGCGCGAGGUCAUUGUCAGGCACCACCACCAUCGCGAGGCCAUCUUCAGGAAGGACAGGCAUGACCAUCGCUAGGUCAUCCUCAGCCACCACCAUCUCUUGCCCAUGGUGCGCCACCACCAUUUCCUGCCCUUGGUCGGCCACCACCAUCGCUAGCUCAUCCUCAGCCUGAUGCCCACUCUGCUCCUCUUCUUCCCCACUCCAGUCCGGAUCAUCCUCCUCGCUGUCUUUGUUGCAGCCCGAAUCGAUGCUGCUUUUGCUACAGCCAGAAUCGCUGCUGCUUUUGCUACAGCCAGAAUCGCUGCUGCUUUGGCUGUAGCCAGUGUCGCUGCUGCUGCUCCCAUUGCCUGUCCAAAUGCAACAAUUAAUGACCGUUAACAAUCGAUGCGAGACAAAGCCAAAUGUAGAGGAAUAAGAAGAGGCAGAAUGUACCGGCAUCAUCAUCGUCAGCGUAGCACAUGCGACACAUAAUCGCGUUGAACACCUUCACGAUGAGCAUGGUGGCGUCGUCGUCGUACCUGAAGAGAAGGAAGUACCCCAGCCGCAGGUUGUAGGCAUGGUAGAACUUCUCCCAGCCAUGACACAGGUACAUGUGGCCCUCCUUGAUCACCAACUCCACGUCCCACAGCAUGCGAAACCCGCUGCCGGCCUGUCGCAGCUUCACAUUAUUUGGCGGAUCUUCACCCAGCAUGUUCAUAAAAGUGUCAGGCAGCCUCUGCAGUUUGGGACAAGGAGUGAUGUAGCAAACAACAGAGUUAUCAUAAUGAGAUGGGUGAAGGGGAGAUCUCUCCUUCUAUAUACCUGCCUCUUGGAGGAAGUCCCAAGUAUGAUACUGAAGAACUCGAAAGCAUUCAACUCGUACUUCGGUGUGGCAGAGCGGAGCCUGCGGUGACAGCCUCCCCCCAUCUCUAAUAAGCAGCAGAAGAGACCAAUUAGUAUCUAGCUAGAAGCAUAUCUAUAAACAUAGAGCCAAGUUUCUAGACAUGAAAGAAAACUGAGAAAAAAAAAGCAAUGCACUUGUCCUCAACAACAUCAACAACACUUAGUUAAUUUGGUAGGUUAGUUGGCAAUGGCAAUUGGCACCCUUCAAAACUAGGGAUUUCUUUAAACGUGAAAGAAAACUGAAAAUGUUGAAAAAAAGAGCAUAAUAAUCUAAAAAUAGGGGAAAAUACACUUCUUCUUUCUCCUCUUUAUCUUCUUCUUUUUUUCAUCUUUCUUCUUUCUUCUUAACCAAAACUAAACCUAAAGUUCCUUCUGGUGUGAUCACAUUGGAAUACUUGUGGCAACAAAUCAUAGUUGCACCAUAUUUUAGGUGGCUCUAGGUGCCACACACCAAGCAAACAAACAAACCUCAAAUCAGAAACUAAGGGUGUAGUGUCGUAAAAUCAAUUUACUUUGUAUGCAAAUCAGAAUGUAUAGUUUGCCUUUCCGCAAAAAAGAAAAGGAAAAGACGGGUAUAGUUUGCCUCUUAUGACAGAUUCCAUAAGCAAUAUGCAUGCCUUGUUGUUUUCUCAAAUUAAACUAAUUCGAGUGUUGCUCAUUGAUUAAUUUGAAUAUAUGCAAAGGAAUUUGAGGAAAGCUUUUGCUCUUCUCACUAUUAGUUUCAUAAUCUUUUAUACAACCCCUUCAAGGAGUCUGUGGAUAACUUUCGUUUACAGUUCACUAGAUAUGUGUAUUACAUUUUCUAUUGGAAAUGCAUUUGAAUUCAUUUAUCACAAAUACUAAUUCUAAAGUUUAACUCUGAUGAUACGGUUGCCACGUACCUACCAAGACAUGCCAAUUUUUUUCUUGUAUAUAAAAGAACUCGUGCACUAAUAUUUACUUCACUGAAAGAUUUUUCACUUUGAAGGGAAAUAGUUUUUGUUCCAUCAUCUAUUAAUAAUAUAACAAUAAUAAUUCAUUAUAUGCCAAUGAGUUGAGAAAUCUGGCACUACAUUAUUUAAAUGACACAUAAAAAGCAUAAUGUACAAAAAAUUGAUCAUGCAUAACUAAAUACUGUGGAUCAAUAAUAGUAUAGAAGAUGAUCUAACUAAUAAGACUACUAGUGAGAACUGAGAUUAUACACAAUUAUAGUAGAGAAGAUGCUAUCUAUGCUCUAAACCUAAGCUAAAGUAAACCUAAACUAAACCAAACCUAAAAUAAACCUAAACUAAACUUAAAAUACAGAAACAAAAACAGAAAAAAAAACAAGAGGUCUCACCGGGUGGNNNNNNNNNNNNNNNNNNNNNNNNNNNNNNNNNNNNNNNNNNNNNNNNNNNNNNNNNNNNNNNNNNNNNNNNNNNNNNNNNNNNNNNNNNNNNNNNNNNNNNNNNNNNNNNNNNNNNNNNNNNNNNNNNNNNNNNNNNNNNNNNNNNNNNNNNNNNNNNNNNNNNNNNNNNNNNNNNNNNNNNNNNNNNNNNNNNNNNNNNNNNNNNNNNNNNNNNNNNNNNNNNNNNNNNNNNNNNNNNNNNNNNNNNNNNNNNNNNNNNNNNNNNNNNNNNNNNNNNNNNNNNNNNNNNNNNNNNNNNNNNNNNNNNNNNNNNNNNNNNNNNNNNNNNNNNNNNNNNNNNNNNNNNNNNNNNNNNNNNNNNNNNNNNNNNNNNNNNNNNNNNNNNGAAGGGGGUCACCGGGGCUGCUGGGGCGGCGCGGCGACAGGGGUGGCGCGGGGCGGCGGCGGCACGGGGGUGGGAUGGUGCGGGGCGGCGGCGGCUCGGGCGCGGGCGGAGAGAGAGAGGGACAGAUGUGGGGCGCGGGCGGGCAUCGAUAUGGAUUUUAGUUAGGGCACGGUUCUUUGCCGUCCGCCAGCAGACGGCAAAGAUCCUAGCUAACGGGUGUUCGCUUGGCCACUUUCUUUGCCGUCUGCUAGCAGACGGCAAAGAGGGGGGCCGUUAGGUUUUUUUCUAAACAUCUCGUUAGUGGGGCCCACCUCUCUCUUUGCCGUCCGCCAGCUGACGGCAAAUAUUCUUUGUCGUCCGCUAGCAGACGGCAAAGAAUUGGCUGAUGGCAAAGACAUUCUUUGCCAUUAGCCAGUUCUUUGCCGUCCUUUUUUGCAAGCUGACGGCAAAGACCUUCUUUGCCGUCCGCCAGCAGACGGCAAAGAAUAGGCAGACGGCAAAUAAGCAAAUUCCAGUAGUGCCAGCUUAGCUGCUCCAACGACAGAAGGGUCCACCACAGAAGGGACCCGGCCUCCAGACUGUCUUUCGCCGCCUCAGAUCUUCUUCCCUGCCGCCGGCAGCCACGACAACUGCAUUACCAUCAUCAACCAAGCAGAUCACCUCGAGGACUACACGGGUCCACAAGAGAGGUCGCACUCUUUUGUGUCUGCUUACGUUAUGCAUCGCUUAAUAUUGCAUGCUACUUUAUCGUCCUGUUCACCGAUUAGACUUUGAGUCAGCUCCAAACUAAUGCUCAAACUUGAGUUUUUAAAUGGUUGUGGGGUACAUAUCGGGGCCGCAAUCAAUAGUAUCUAUCUACUAUCUGGUUAAUCUCUGGCGGCUACUAUGAGUUUCAUGUUGGGUGGGAAACAAACAGUAAAGAAGCCAUUAUCUGUAUUUUUUAACUGAAGCCAUUAUCUGCCUGCUAUCAUUGGUUUUGGGUCUAUCCACAGGUUGCUACCAUCACUCUGGAUUUCUGCAUGCACUCCUUACAUAAUCUCACUAUGUUUUAUUCCUAUGCAUGUCAUUUAUUGUACACAAUGGAACUGAACAUGUAGAGCAAAAGAGACGAGCCUUGCGUGGCAAUAAAAUUUCAUGCAGACGUCGCUCCAUGGUGGGCACAAAGGCAGCCCCCGUCCACCCAUUUCGGAUUGUAAUCAAGAGGAAGGUAACUGUUCUGAGGGGGAUUCAGAAGGAGAAGACCACUCCUAUUUACCCCCUGAGGUCUUCGCUCUAACUUGGCAUGCUGAUGUUGAUAAUAUCAUGCAUAUGGUGCCUUGCAUGCUUACUUUAUACAUAAAAUAUGUCAUCUGCCUAGUUUAGACAUGCUUUGUGUGAAUGUCAUUUGUUUAGUUUCUUUAUCAUAUAUGUGAACUAUGCAACGCCAUCUUGUUUAGCCAAGCAUCAUAUAUGUGAAUUUUGCAAUGCCAUCCUGCUUAGCCAGUCAUCUUAUAUGUGAAUUAUAUCAUGCCAUCCUUUUUUAUUACGUAUUACAUUUGUCAACAAUGUUAGUACAUUCAACUACUCUUCGUGCACAUCAGCCAUUUGACACGGUGAUGGAAAAUUCUGGAGUGAAAACAAGGUCUUCAAAGCAGACUAUGCUAUUUGACGAAGUGCAUAUCUCGCUGGUUAUGGAUAGCUCCUUAGAGGAGGAUUCAGAGACAGAUGACCAGUCCUAUUUCCCCCCGAGGUGUAUGCUCUAACUUGGCAGGGUUAUGUUGCUCAUAUCGUGCGUAUGGUGUCUUGCAUUGCUAUGUCAUUUGCUUAGUUUAGACAUGCUUUGUGUGAAUGCCACCUGUUUAGUGUCUAAUUACCAUAUAUGUGAAUUAUGCAAUGCCAUCUUGUUGCAAGACAUUAUAUAUGUGAAUUAUGCAAUGUUAUCUUGUUGCAAGACAUUAUAUAUGUGAAAUGCAAUGCCAUGUUGUUUAGCCAAUCAUCAUAUAUGUGAAUUAUAUCAUGCUAUCCUUUUUUUAUUACGUGUUUCAUUUGUCGACAAUGUUUGUAUAUUCAACUACUCUUCCUGUGCAUCAGCUAUUUGAAGCGGUGAUGGAAGUAUCUGGAGUGAAAACAAGGUGUUCAGAGCAGACAAUGCUACCCGCUGAAGCAGACAUCUUGUUGGUUAUAGAUAGCUCCUCAGAGGAGGAUUCAGAGACAGAUGACCAGUCCUAUUCCCCCCUGAGGUCUAUGCUCAAACUUGGCAGGGUUAUAUUACUCAUGUCAUGCAUGUUGUCUUGCAUUGCUUAGUUUUUACAUCAUAUAUGUGAUUGCCAUCUGCUUACUUGCUUAGUAUAUAAAUCAUAUAUUUGAAUUAUAUCAUGCCAUCAUGUUUACAUAGACAGCAUCUAUCUGUUAUGACAUUCCAACCCAUUUAAUAAAGACAUCAUAUAGUUAUAUCAUCUCAUCAUGUUUAGUGUUUACAGUCAUCAUAUUUUGAAUUAUGUCAUUCUAUCCAUGAAUUAUACCAUGCUAUCAUGUUUCCAUAGGCGGCAUGUAUGUGAAUUAUGGCAUGCCAACCUAUUUAAUAAAUACAUUAUAUAGUUAUAUCACGUCAUCAUGUUUACAUAGUCAUCAUAUUUUGAACUACGUCUUUCCAUCCUUUUUAGUUAGCCAUCAUAUAUGUGAAAUUGUGUCAUGCUAUCCUGUUUAGUUAGCCAUCAUAUAUGUGAAAUUGUGUCAUGCUAUCCUGUUUGGUUAGACAACAUAAAUGUGAAUUAUUUCAUGCCCUCUUUUAUUCCCCACUAUCCAUUGCACCUGUCUAUCAUACAAUGUCUGUACAUUCAAUUACUUUUCUUGUUUAUCAGCCAUUUGAAUUUGAGAGGGUGAUGGCAGUAUCUAAGGGAGUAACAACACGGUCUUCAGAAAAGAUAGUGCUACUAGUCGAUGCAGAUAGAACCACGGUUGUACUUGCCCAAGAACCAGCCCCACCACACAUAACCCAGACUCCCACAGAUUGUACCCCUACCCAGUUGGACAGAGAACCAGCUACACCCCUUCUAACCCCAACCCCAGCAGAUAGUAACCCAGUUCCAGUUGACACAACACUGUCUCCACCACACAACACCCAAACACGAGCAGUUAGUAAGGGAACUGCAGUGCCCAAAGCACGAGGACCACCACUCUAAAUCCCAACUCAACGCUUAAAGCAGAAGAAGAAUUGUUCUCAGGUCCAGUUCAUGUAGCUAUGGUUCAUACUCCUUUGCUCUUGCAUCACUGUAUUUACUCAUACCAACUAUUUUCAAAUUUGAAGGAUGGAAUUGAAACUCCAAUGGUGCAACAGGUAUGUUUUAAACAUGUUUCUUUAACUGGUUUGCUGUUGUAACUUGCUCUGUGUUGAUUUCAGUUUCAAUUGAAUAAACAGUUAUGUUCUCAUGUCAUGCACAUUACAAGUGUUGUUAUUGCUCUGUAGUUUCCCACACUUAUAUUCUAUCUAUUCUACUUUGUCUUAAACAUAUAUUAUUUGAACUGUGUCUCUAUCUUGAUUUGGCAACAAAAACUAGAAUGAUAUAGACCAUACAGUGACCAUGGUACAUAGAUAUAUGUUUGUUUCAUGCUGUUAUCCUGUCCACUUUACUACUGAGCUGAUUUACCAAAAUGAGAUCAUAUACAACACGGUAAACAUGUGAUGUGUCUGCUUGUUUCUCUUUUAGAAUGCGGACAAAAUAUUGGAGAAGAGUACCCCCAUUAUGCAAUGGUAAAGGAAGUAAUCCAGAUAAGGUUCAAGAUAGUGAGACAUCCCUGUUGGUCUCCAAGAAAGCUGAUAAAAACUAUCUUGAUGAUAGUGAGACAACCCAAAAGUCAUGUCUUGAUGUAGUGUUCGAGUUACUGGCCACUACUGCUGGCACAAGCUCUUUGAACUCACUGCCUGAAUCAGUUUGUCUUCUUGAGUCUCAACUUCAAGUUGAAGACAUCGAUCAGAUGUGCUGCGACACGAAGCCGAAGGAUUGAGGAACUCCCUGCAGAAUUCAGAUGCAUACUUUCUGGUGCAACAGCAAGCGCUGGAGGAUUUAAGUGCAAAACAAGAGAAAGUUAAUAAGCUUGGCAUCUUGCCAGCAUUAUGGGCACCCAGGAUAUUGUUUCUAGAGCUCUUCUGAAGUGGUUUCAGUUCUAGACUUGUUUUGCUGCGGCAUUUAUUUGCACUGGUCGCCAGCUUUGACAACCAGUGUAUGUGAUAUGCUGCUUUGUUCCCUAUAUUUGCAUCGGUGGCGAACUUUGAUGCCCAGUGGAUGUAAUAUGUGUAAUAGCCGUGAUAGCCUAGCAAAAGUUGCUUGCUUAUUUAUUUCCUUGUUGUCUUGUUUAUUUAUUUGCUUGUAGUCAGUGUAGUUCUUUUUCCGCGGUUUGCUAGUGGCCGCAGUAACCUAUUUUUGAAAACUAGGCCACAAUAACCAUGGGCUACAUAUUUACUGUAGUGACCAUGGGCCUCCUACGGGCCGUAGAAACAAUGGGCCUUCUACGGGCCGUAGAAACAAUGGGCCUUUACGGGUCAUGGAAACAAUGGGCCUUCUACAGGACGUAGCAACAAUGGGCCUUCUACGGGCCGUAAGAUCGAUUGGCCAAACAUGGGCCAAUAACAUACCGCAUUAUGGGCCGUAAAUGGGCUAGAGUUGGAAUCGUCCAUUCAUGGGCCGACCAUAACGGGACGUCGUUAAUCGGUCGUAAUUGAUGACGCUAUGAAAAUGGCCCAAUGGAUUAACGCGCCACAAACGAGCCGACUGUAACCACAGGCUGAAUUUGGCCCACAAGCAGAAAAGGCCAGUAACGGGCCUUAAGUAACCGAAUGCUGGAGAUGAGCCCAAGAAUAAAUGGGCCCUGAGAAGGCCAAAAUAUAACACGGGUUGGAAACGGCCAAUGGAAUAAUGGGCCGUUAAUGGGUAUAAAGCGGUACACUUUUCAUUACGGGUCAGUUUCACCAUGGGCCGUUAAUGGGCCAAGAGUUACAAAAGGCCUCAUAUGGGCCAAAAGACGUCAUGGGCCAUACAUGGGCCGGAAGUUACAACGGGCUGGAAUCAUAUUGGACGGCCCAGAUGAAGCUACUGGGCUUAAUCCGGAUAGGUCGUAACGGGCCGUUAGUUAGCGGGUCGUAAAUGGGCUAUAUACGAACAUGCCGUUAACAGGCUUUCCGUGGGCCGGGCCGCUACCUUUUGACCAAGUAAAACGGGUCGGCCUUUUCACCGGAAUGGGCCUCUGUUGGGCCAUGCCAUGUGUAGACGUAUCAUAGGCGCCUCUUGUCAAUUGAGUGGAUGACAUCUGUCCCAACGGUGAGUCGACACGUGGUUCCUCUGGCCGUUGAGAAUUUUACACGUGGAAAAUCUCCAUUGGUCAGGCCUGUUAACGGGUUAUCGGAUCCAAAACAGGACCCGAUAGCUUAACGGCGACCCGUUACGGUGGAUGCCACGUGUCAGUUACCCUUGAUGAAAGCACUUCCAUGACGCGCCAUUUAUCGUCAUGGAAGUGGACACUUCCGUGAUGAUAAUUUUGGUAAUGUCAUGGAACACUUCUAUGACAGCACAGGUAUGACUAUCUUGAUUCUAUCAUAAAAUCGUCAUGGAUGUACAUGCAUGACAGAAAAUGUAACCUACUGUGACAAACAUGUAUCAUCAUGGAAGUGUAUUCUUUUGUAGUGAUGUUACUUGCCCGAGAUUCGAUCAUCAGUAUCUUCAUACCUAGUUCAAUCUCGUUACCGGCAAGUCUCUUUACUCAUUCCAUAAUACAUCACCUAGUGACUAACUCCUUAGUCAUUUGUGUGACGCCCGGAUAUUUAAGCUACAGUAAUUCCUUGUUAAUGAUGCCAUGUCACCGCGGUUAUUUUUGUUAAUCUCGCGUUAGUUUGAAACCGAUUCAAAUUCAAAAUCAAAACAAACGGUAAAAGUUUUCAAACAUUAAAACUAAAAUGUUCAGGUUGUGUCAAAUAAAUCAUAAGUAAUUAUGGUGGAGAAACCACAGUUUUAUAAAGUGUUUAAAUGCACUAUAAUAAAUAAACAGUGGCAAAGCAGUUAUUCAAAUGCCUUCAAAAUAAUAAACAAUUCCAAAACUAUUUUUUUUCAAUGCUAAACUGUUUGUGGCAGUGGCAUAAAUUGUAACACUAUUUUAGGUGCCACUUUUGUAUUUUAUUGAAACUAGGCUAAAACAGAAAAGAAAUAAAAUAAAUAAAAGUAAAACAAAACAAAACAAACAAAAAAAGAGAAGAAAAGGAAAGCACCCCCCACUGGACCACGGCCCAGCAGGCCUCCAGGCCGCACGGCCGGCCCACCAGGCCCAACCGGCCACCACCACUCCCUUAUCCCCUCUCGCCCGAAACCCUAACCCCCCACUACUCCCACUGCCCCCACGAUCCCCCUCAUCUCUUCCCNNNNNNNNNNNNNNNNNNNNNNNNNNNNNNNNNNNNNNNNNNNNNNNNNNNNNNNNNNNNNNNNNNNNNNNNNNNNNNNNNNNNNNNNNNNNNNNNNNNNNNNNNNNNNNNNNNNNNNNNNNNNNNNNNNNNNNNNNNNNNNNNNNNNNNNNNNNNNNNNNNNNNNNNNNNNNNNNNNNNNNNNNNNNNNNNNNNNNNNNNNNNNNNNNNNNNNNNNNNNNNNNNNNNNNNNNNNNNNNNNNNNNNNNNNNNNNNNNNNNNNNNNNNNNNNNNNNNNNNNNNNNNNNNNNNNNNNNNNNNNNNNNNNNNNNNNNNNNNNNNNNNNNNNNNNNNNNNNNNNNNNNNNNNNNNNNNNNNNNNNNNNNNNNNNNNNNNNNNNNNNNNNNNNNNNNNNNNNNNNNNNNNNNNNNNNNNNNNNNNNNNNNNNNNNNNNNNNNNNNNNNNNNNNNNNNNNNNNNNNNNNNNNNNNNNNNNNNNNNNNNNNNNNNNNNNNNNNNNNNNNNNNNNNNNNNNNNNNNNNNNNNNNNNNNNNNNNNNNNNNNNNNNNNNNNNNNNNNNNNNNNNNNNNNNNNNNNNNNNNNNNNNNNNNNNNNNNNNNNNNNNNNNNNNNNNNNNNNNNNNNNNNNNNNNNNNNNNNNNNNNNNNNNNNNNNNNNNNNNNNNNNNNNNNNNNNNNNNNNNNNNNNNNNNNNNNNNNNNNNNNNNNNNNNNNNNNNNNNNNNNNNNNNNNNNNNNNNNNNNNNNNNNNNNCCUCGCCACUGCUCGCGCGCGCCCCAGCGCCACCACCUCCAACCGACGCCGCGCUCUGCCCGCUGCCGAGGCCACCCCUCCGCCGCCUCCCCUGGGCCUGGCUGCCGGCGCCGGCGUGCGCCGAGUGUGCCCAGCGCCCCUCGGGCGCCUGCCUCGUCCGACCCGCUAGGCCCCUGGGGCCUAUGACAAGGGGGCCCCACCCCAGAACGUUUAAUAGAAAAAAAUAAAGAAUAAAAAGUAAAUAAUAAUAAAAAUGUUAAUUAAUUGAUUAAUUAACUUAGUUAAUUAUGUUUAAAUUAACCUAAUAACUAAUUAACCUAAUUGACUACUGUUAAUUAACUAAACAGUUAAUGACAUGCGGACCCCACACGUCAGUUUGACUAGGUCAACUAACUAGUUGACUGCUGACAUCAUGCUGACGUCAUAAUUACAUUUUCUAAUUAAAUUAAUUUUGUUAAUUCUAAAAUGAAUUAAAUCUUUAAAAAAUAAUAUAAAAUAAUCCAUAACUCGGAUGAAAAUACUUUGUACAUGAAAGUUGCUCGGAACGAUGAGACAAAUUCGAAUACGCAGCCCGUUCGUCUGCCACACAUGCCUAGCAUAGCGAACACGCAACUUUUCCCCUCCGGUUUAUCUGUCCGGAAACGCGAAACUUCGGGGAUACUUUCCCGGAUGUUUCCCCCCUUCGCCGGUAUCACCUAAUACCGCGUUAGGGCAUACCUAGCACCGCGUAUUACCUCGUUAUGUUUUGUGAUGCUUUGUUUGCUCCGUAUUUACUGUUUCUUCCCCCCUCUUCUUCUUCGAUAGACACCGAGACCGUUGCUGAUGCCACUGAGUUCGACCACGUUGUUGACGACCCCUCCUUGCCAGAGCAACCAGGCAAGCCCCCCCUUAAUCACCAGAUAUCGCCUAUUCUUCUCUAUACUACUUGCAUUAGAGUAGUGUAGCAUGUUACUGCUUUCCGUUAAUCCUAUUCUGCUGCAUAGCCUGUCCUUGCUACUACUGUUGUUACCUUUACCUGCAAUCCUACAUGCUUAGUAUAGGAUGCUAGUAUUCCAUCUGUGGCCCUACAUUCUUGUCCGUCUGCCUUGCUAUACUAUCGGGUCGUGAUCACUCGGGAGGUGAUCACGGGUAUAUACUUAUAUACUUUACAUGAUACCUGUGGUGACUAAAGUCGGGUCGGCUUGUAGGAGUACCCGCGAGUGGAUCUUGUGGCGGAGCGACAGGGCAGGUUGAGACCACCUAGGAGAGAGGUGGGCCUGGCCCUGGUCGGCGUCCGCGGUUACUUCAUAAUAACACGCUUAACGAGAUCUUGGUAUUUGAUCUGAGUCUGGCCACUGGCCUAUACGCACUAACCAACUACGCGGGAAUAGUUAUGGGCACUCGGCGUCGUGGUAUCAGCCGAAGCCUUCUUGAUGUCAGCGACUGAGCGACGCGCACCGGAUUGGACUAGAACGCCUACUCUUGUAUAAGGGAGGCUAGGUCUGCUUCAGGCCGCAUUCGCAACGUGCAGGUGUGCAAUGGGCGAUGGGCCCAGACCCCUCCGCCAUAGGAUUUAGACCGGCAUGCUGACCUCUCUGUUGUGCCUAGGUGGGGCUGCGACGUGUUGAUCUUCCGAGGCCGGGCAUGACCCAGGAAAGUGUGUCCAGCCAAAUGGGAUCGAGCGUGUUGGGUUAUGUGGUGCACCCCUGCAGGGAAGUUUAUCUAUUCGAAUAGUCGUGUCCCUCGGUAAAAGGACGACCCAGAGUUGUACCUUGACCUUAUGACAACUAGAACCGGAUACUUAAUAAAACACACCCUUCCAAGUGCCAGAUACAACCCGGUGGUCGCUCUCUAACAGGGCGACGAGGAGAGGAUCGCCGGGUAGGAGUAUGCUAUACGAUGCUACUUGGUGAACUUCAAUCUACUCUCUUCUACAUGCUGCAAGAUGGAGGCUGCCAGAAGCGUAGUCUUCGACAGGACUAGCUAUCCCCCUCUUAUUCCGGCAUUCUGCAGUUCAGUCCACCGAUAUAGCCCCUUUACACAUAUACCCAUGCAUAUGUAGUGUAGAUCCUUGCUUGCGAGUACUUUGGAUGAGUACUCAUGGUUGCUUUUCUCCCUCUUUUCCCCCUUUCCCUUCUACCUGGUUGUCGCAAUCAGAUGCUGGAGCCCAGGAGCCAGACGCCACCGUCGACGACGACUCCUACUACACCGGAGGUGCCUACUACUACGUUCAGGCCGUUGACGAUGACCAGGAGUAGUUUAGGAGGAUCCCAGGCAGGAGGCAUGCGCCUCUUUCGAUCUGUAUCCCAGUUUGUGCUAGCCUUCUUAAGGCAAACUUGUUUAACUUAUGUCUGUACUCAGAUAUUGUUGCUUCCGCUGACUAGUCUAUGAUCGAGCACUUGUAUUCGAGCCCUCGAGGCCCCUGGCUUGUAUUAUGAUGCUUGUAUGACUUAUUCUAUUUUUAGAGUUGUGUUGUGAUAUCUUCCCGUGAGUCCCUGAUCUUGAUCGUACACGUUUGUGUGUAUGAUUAGUGUACGGUUGAAUCGGGGGUGUCACAAUUUGCUUGCAAGCUUAUGAUGUGUAUUACCGAGAGGGCCCAGAGAUACCUCUCCGAUACUCGGAGUGACAAAUCCUAAUCUUGAUAUAUGCCAACUCAACAAAUACCUUCGGAGAUACCUGUAGAGCAUCUUUAUGAUCACCCAGUUACGUUGUGACGUUUGAUAGCACACAAGGUAUUCCUCCGGUAUCCGAGAGUUGCAUAAUCUCAUAGUCGAAGAAUAAGUAUUUGACAUGAAGAAAGCAGUAGUAAUAAACCGAACGAUCAUUAUGCUAAGCUAACAGAUGGGUCUUGUCCAUCACAUCAUUCUCCUAAUGAUGUGAUCCCGUUAUCAAAUGACAACACAUGUCUAUGGUUAGGAAACCUUAACCAUCUUUGAUCAACGAGCUAGUCUAGUAGAGGCUCACUAGGGGAACGGUAUUUGUUUAUGUAUCCACGCAUGUAUUUAGGUUUCCGAUCAAUACAAUUCUAGCAUGAAUAAUAAACCUUUAUCAUGAAUAAGGAAACAUAAAAUAACAACUUUAUUAUUGCCUCUAGGGCAUAUUUCCUUCAGUCUCCCACUUGCACUAGAGUCAAUAAUCUAGUUCACAUCGCCAUGUGAUUAACACCCAUAGUUCACAAUGCCAUGUGACCAAUACACAAAGAGUUUACUAGAGUCAAAUAAUCUAGUUCACAUCGCCAAGUGAUUAAUACCCAAAGAGUAUUAAGGUGUGGUCAUGUUUUGCUUGUGAGAGAGGUUUAGUCAACAGGUCUGUCACAUUCAGAUUUGUAUGUAUUUUGCAAAUUUCUAUGUCUACAAUGCUCUGCAUGGAUCUACUCUAGCUAAUUGCUCCCACUUUCAAUACGUAUCCAGAUUGAGAUUCAUAAUCAUCUGAAUCGGUGUCAAAGCUUGCAUCGACGUAACUGUUUACGAUGAACUCUUUAUCACCUCCAUAACCGAGAAAUAUUUCCUUAGUCCUCUAAGGAUAAUUUUGACCGUUGUCCAGUGAUUCACUCCUGGAUCACUCUUGUACCUCCUUGCUAAAUCCAUGGUGAUAACCCACAAGUAUAGGGGAUCAAUUGUAGCCUCUUUCGAUAAGUAAGAGUGUCGAACCCAAAGAGGAGCUAAAGGUAGAACAAAUAUUCCCUCAAGUUCUAUCGACCACCGAUACAACUCUACGCACACUUGACGUUCGCUUUACCGGAAACAAGUAUGAAACUAGAAGUACUUUGUAGGUGUUUUUGGAUAGGUUUGCAAGAUAAUAAAGAGCGCGUAAAUAAAAAGUAGGGGCUGUUUAGAUAAAGACACAACUAAAUUAGUUUUAGUAGAGAGCUUUUUGUUACGAGAAAGUUAUUUGUCCCUAGGCAAUCGAUAACUAGACCGGUAAUCAUUAUUGCAAUUUUAUUUGAGGGAGAGGCAUAAGCUAACAUACUUUCUCUACUUGUAUCAUAUUCACUUAUGAUUGGAACUCUAGCAAGCAUCCGCAACUACUAAAGAUCAUUAAGGUAAAACCCAACCAUAGCAUUAAAGCAUCAAGUCCUCUUUAUCCCAUACGCAACAACCUACUUACUCGGGUAUAUGCUUCUGUCACUCACGCCACCCACUAUAAGCGAAUCAUGAACGUAUUGCAACACCCUACAGCGGGAAUCCCUCAUGCUUGCGCGACACGGAGAGCACCAUAGGACAGCACCAAUAAUAAAACAUGCAACUCAAACCAAUCUUGAUCAUCAAAUAACCCAUAGGACAAAACGGAUCUACUCAAACAUCAUAGGAUAGCCAUACAUCAUUGGGAAAUAAUAUAUAGCAUUGAGCACCAUGUUUAAGUAGAGAUUACAGCGGGUAAGAGAGAGGUUACACCGCUGCAUAGAGGGGGGAAGAGUUGGUGAUGAUGGCGGUGAAGUUGUUGGUGAAGAUUGCGGUGAUGAUGAUGGCCCCGGCGGUGUUCCGGCGCCACCGGAAGAGAGGGGGAGAGGGCCCCCCUUCUUCUUCUUCUUCCUUGACCUCCUCCCUAGAUGGGAGAAGGGUUUCCCCUCUGGUCCUUGGUCUCCAUGGCAUGGGAGGGGCGAGAGCCCCUCCGAGAUUGGAUCUGUCUCUCUCUGUUUCUGCGUUCUGGUUUUCUGCCCUUUCACCGUUUCGUAUAUAUAUGGAGAUCCGUAACUCCGAUUGGAUUGAAACCUUCGCCCAGAUUUUUCUCCGAAAAUUCGCUUUCUUGCGGCAAAAGAAGGGCAUCAACCGCCUUACGGGGGCCACGAGGGUCAGGGGCGCGCCCCCCUGCCUCGUGCCUCCCUCGGGCACUGUCUCGCGUGGAUUUUCCUUCCCAUAUUCUCUGAAUAUUCAAAAAAUAAUCUCCGUCCGUUUUUAUCCCGUUUGGACUCCGUUUGAUAUGGAUAUUCUGUGAAACAAAAACAUGCAACAAACAGGAACUGGCACUGGGCACUGGAUCAAUAUGUUAGUCCCCAAAAAUAGUAUAAAAAGUUGCCAAAAGUAUAUGAAAGUUGUAGAAUAUUGGCAUGGAACAAUCAAAAAUUAUAGAUACGAAGGAGACGUAUCAGCAUCCCCAAGCUUAAUUCCUGCUCGUCCUCGAGUAGGUAAAUGAUAAAAAGAUAAUUUUUGAUGUGGAAUGCUACCUAGCAUAAUCUUGAUCACAUAAUCUAAUCAUGGCAUGAAUAUUAAGACACGAGUGAUUCAAAGCAAUAGUCUAUCAUUUAACAGAAAAACAAUAAUACUUCAAGCCUACUAAUAAAGCAAUCAUGUAUUUUCAAAGUAACAUGGCCAAAGAAAGUUAUCCCUACAAAAUCAUAUAGUCUGGCUAUGCUCCAUCAUCACCACACAAAAUAUUCAAAUCAUGCACAACCCCGAUGACAAGCCGAGCAAUUGGUUCAUACUUUUUAACGCGCUUCAGCCUUUUCAACCCUCACGCAAUACAUGAGCGCAAGCCAUGGAUAUAGAACUAUGGGUGAAAUAGAAUAUGAUGAUGGAGGUUGUGUGGAGAAGACAAAAAAGGAGAAAGUCUCACAUCGACGCGGCUAAUCAACAGACUAUGGAGAUGCCCAUCAAUUGAUGUCAAUGUGAGGAGUAGGGAUUGCCAUGCAACGGAUGCACUAGAGCUAUAAGUGUAUGAAAGCUCAAACUGAAACUAAGUGGGUGUGCAUCCAACUUGCUUGCUCAUGAAGACCUAGGGCAUUAGAGGAAGCCCAUCGUUGGAAUAUACAAGCCAAGUUCUAUAAUGAAAAUUCCCACUAGUAUAUGAAAGUGAUAACUCAAGAGACUCUCUAUAUGAAGAACAUGGUGCUACUCUGAAGCACAAGUGUGGUAAAAGGAUAGUAACAUUGCCCCUUCUCUCUUUUUCUCUCUUUUUUUGUUUUUUCUUUUCUUUUUUUUCUUUUUUUUGGGCCUUCUCUUUUUUUGCCCUUUCUCUUUUUUUUAUUUUUUAUUUUUUUCGUCUGGAGUCUCAUCCCGACUUGUGGGGGAAUCAUAGUCUCCAUCAUCCUUUCCUCACUAGGGCAAUGCUCUAAUAAUGAUGAUCAUCACACUUUUAUUUACUUGCAACUCAAUAUUACAACUGGAUAUCCAGAACAAAGAUAUGACUCUAUAUGAAUGCCUCCGGCGGUGUACCGGGAUGUGCAAUGAUCUAGCGUAGCAAUGACAUCAAAAAAUGGACAAGCCAUGAAAACAUCAUGCUAGCUAUCUUACGAUCAUGCAAAGCAAUAUGACAAUAAAUGCUCAAGUCAUGUAUAUGAUGAUGAUGGAAGUUGCAUGGCAAUAUAUCUCGGAAUGGCUAUGGAAAUGCCAUGAUAGGUAGGUAUGGUGGCUGUUUUGAGGAAGAUAUAAUGAGGCUUAUGUGUGAUAGAGUGUAUCGUAUCAUGGGGUUUGGAUGCACCGGCGAAGUUUGCACCAACUCUCGAGGUGAGAAAGGGCAAUGCACGGUACCGAAGAGGCUAGCAAUGAUGGAAGGGUGAGAGUGCGUAUAAUCCAUGGACUCACAUUAGUCAUAAAGAACUCAUAUACUUAUUGCAAAAGUUUAUUAGCCCUCGAAGCAAAGUACUACUACGCAUGCCCCUAGGGGGAUAGAUUGGUAGGAAAAUACCAUUGCUCGUCCCCGACCGCCACUCAUAAGGAAGACAAUCAAUAAAUACCUCAUGCUCCAACUUCGUUACAUAACGGUUCACCAUACGUGCAUGCUACGGGAAUCACAGACCUCAACACAAGUAUUUCUACUAAUCCACAACUACCCACUAGCAUGAAUCUAAUAUCACCAUCUUUAUAUCGCAAAACUAUUGAAAGGAAUCAAACAUAUCAUAUUCACUGAUCUACAAGUUUUAUGUAGGAUUUUAUGACUAACCAUGUGAAUGACCAGUUCCUAUCAUCUCUCUAAAUAGAUAUAAGUGAAGCAAGAGAGUUUAAUUAUUUCUACAAAAGAUAUGCCCAUGCUCUAACAAGUAUAAGUGAAGCAAAAGAGCAUUCUACAAAUGGCGGUUUUCUAUGUGAAGAGAAACAGGCAAUCCAAACUUCAAAUGAUAUAAGUGAAGCACAUGAAGCAUUCUAUAAAGCCAUACUCAAAGGAUUUAAGUGAAGUGCAAUGAGCAUUUUAUAAAUCAACCAAGGACUAUCUCAUACCAGCAUGGUGCAUAAAAGAAAAGUGAAAACUAAACGCAAAAGACGCUCCAAGAUUGCACAUAUCGCAUGAACGAAACGAAUCCGAAAACAUACCGAUAUUUGUUGAAGAAAGAGGGGAUGCCUUCUGGGGCAUCCCCAAGCUUAGACGCUUGAGUCUCCUUGAAUAUUUACUUGGGGUGCCUUGGGCAUCCCCAAGCUUGAUCUCUUGCCUCUCUUCCUUCUUCUCACAUCGAGACAUCCUCAAUCAUCGAACACUUCAUCCACACAAAACUUCAACAGAAAACUCGGUAAGAUCCGUUAGUAUAAUAAAGCAAAUCACUACUCUAAGUACUGUUGCAAACCAAUUCAUAUUUUGUUUUUGCAUUGUGUCUACUGUAAUAUAGCUUUUCCAUGGCUUAAUCCACUGAUAUAAACUGAUAGUUUCAUCAAAACAAGCAAACUAUGCAACAAAAACAGAACAGUCUGUAAUAAUCUGAACAUUCACCAUACUUCUGAUACUUGAAAAAUUCUGCCAAAAUUAGGCAAAAUAAAAAAUCUGUAUAGAAAGACAGUGCAAAAAGAAUCAGAAUCAUUUGACGUUCCAGUAAAAAAUGUAAAAUCGAGCACUACAGCCAAAGUUUCUGUCCUGCACCAUACAAACCAACAAGCAUUGUAAACAUCCUAAAGGCAAACCUUGGCACAUUAUUUUUAUAAUACAAUGGAAUUGUACAAGGGGAUAAUUAUUUUUAUUGAAAAGUUUCUAUAAUCAAGAUUCACAAAGUUUCCGUGAGCAUGAACAAAGUUCAAGGCUAGCUCCCACUUCAACAAUGCUUGUCUUUCUCACUUUCACUUUCCUUUUUGAAAAAGUUUUUAGGUUCCCCUCUUUAUUUUUUUGUUUUUAAACUAUAUAAAAGCACACAAUAGAAAUAAAUGACUCUCUAAAACUUCUGGGUUGUCUCCCUGACAGCGCUUUCUUUAAAGCCAUUAAGCUAGGCAUAUAGUGCUCAAGUAGUGAAUCCACCCGGAUCCCAAGGUAUACCAAAGCCAAUUUUAAUUAGCAAUGAUUUGGCAUUUAGUAGUGAGCACAAAGCAACAUAUAUCAUGCAACAACGAAGUCUAACUCUCUUCCUAUGCAUCGGCAUGUCAUAAAAGAACAAUUCAUGCACACAUAGUAAAGGCCAAUGCAUAGUAUAAACAGUUUCUUGCAAUUUUAUCGUGUUGGAAACAUAGAGAGGUGGAGAUAUAGUUCCUCUCUCAUAAUAAUUGCAAGUAGGAGCAGCAAGCACAUGCAUAUUAUAUUCAUCAAAAUCAUCAUGUGCAACGGUAAAAUGCAACCCAUCAACAUAAUCCUUAAUAAGAGCAAACUUCUCCGAUAUAGUGUAGUUUGGAGAAUUCAAAAAGAUAAUAGGACUAUCAUGUGUGGGUGCAAUAGCAACAAUUUCAUGUUUAACAUAAGGAACUAUAGCAAGUCCAUCUCCAUAAGCAUCAUUCAUAUUGGCAUCAUGGCCACAAGCAUAGCAAGCAUCAUCAAAAAGGGAUAUUUCAAAAGAAUCAACGGGAUCAUAACAAUCAUCCUUCGGUAAGCACGAAGGGAAAUUAAACAAUGUAUGAGUUGAAGAGUUACUCUCAUUAGAAGGUGGGCAUGGGUAGCUAAUCCGCUCUUCCUCCUUUUGUUCUUCGCUCUCCUCAUCAUUUUUUCAUCCAAUGAGCUCACAGUUUCAUCAAUUUCUUCUUCCAUAGACUCCUGCAAAAUAUUAGUCUCUUUUUGGACAGCGGAGUAGUCCUCAAUAUAUGGUUCAACAUAGGCAUUAGAAGCAUAAUUAUCAUAGCAACAUUUAAGUAUGGCAAAAUUUUCAGAUUUGUAAAGAGUAGCAUCAUACUUUUCAAUCAAAGAAGCAAUUUCGUAAGCACCCUUAAAAGCAACAAAUUCUUCAAUUUGUUGAACAUCAUAGUAAUUAUAAACACCCUUAGCAUACGAAGAUACGAUUCCAUUAUCACUAAACUCACAUUGAUAGGGAAGGUGUUUCUUAGGGUUUUCAGAACAACAAGUAAAAUCAUAUAUUUCACAUAAAUUCUAAGCAUAGCAUUGCAAACGAUGAAUUUGACCCAGUAAAAGUUUCCCUUUUUCAGAUAUACGGUGUCGCACAUAACAAGCAUGCUCAUCUAAAGAUUUGCCCUCAACUAAGCUAGUUGGGGUUUCAGCACGAGCACAUAGGGAUCGAAGAUGAUCCAAGUAAUAAGCUUCAGGAGUGUGAUAGAUUUAGUGGUCCUUCAACCAUUGGUUCAGUAGGUACAACUAAUUGUUUUGGUAUUUUGCGUUUCCUACCCAUAACUAAAGAUAGAAAAUAACUAAGAACAGCAAAUAAAAAUUACUUAGUGAUAAAGCAAACAAGCACACACGAGAAUAUUCACCCCACGCUAUUGCUCCCCAGCAACGGCGCCAGAAAAAGGUCUUGAUAACCCACAAGUAUAGGGGAUCAAUUGUAGCCUCUUUCGAUAAGUAAGAGUGUCGAACCCAAUGAGGAGCUAAAGGUAGAACAAAUAUUCCCUCAAGUUCUAUCGACCACCGAUACAACUCUACGCACACUUGACAUUCGCUUUACCGGAAACAAGUAUGAAACUAGAAGUACUUUGUAGGUGUUUUUGGAUAGGUUUGCAAGAUAAUAAAGAGCGCGUAAAUAAAAAGUAGGGGCUGUUUAGAUAAAGACACAACUAAAUUAGUUUUAGUAGAGAGCUUUUUGUUACGAGAAAGUUAUUUGUCCCUAGGCAAUCGAUAACUAGACCGGUAAUCAUUAUUGCAAUUUUAUUUGAGGGAGAGGCAUAAGCUAACAUACUUUCUCUACUUGGAUCAUAUUCACUUAUGAUUGGAACUCUAGCAAGCAUCCGCAACUACUAAAGAUCAUUAAGGUAAAACUCAACCAUAGCAUUAAAGCAUCAAGUCCUCUUUAUCCCAUACGCAACAACCUACUUACUCGGGUAUAUGCUUCUGUCACUCACGCCACCCACUAUAAGCGAAUCAUGAACGUAUUGCAACACCCUACAGCGGGAAUCCCUCACGCUUGCGCGACAUGGAGAGCACCAUAGGAUAGCACCAAUAAUAAAACAUGCAACUCAAACCAAUCUUGAUCAUCAAAUAACCCAUAGGACAAAACGGAUCUACUCAAACAUCAUAGGAUAGCCAUACAUCAUUGGGAAAUAAUAUAUAGCGUUGAGCACCAUGUUUAAGUAGAGAUUACAGCGGGUAAGAGAGAGGUUACACCACUGCAUAGAGGGGGGAAGAGUUGGUGAUGAUGGCGGUGAAGUUGUUGGUGAAGAUUGCGGUGAUGAUGGUGGCCCCGGCGGUGUUCCAGCGCCACCGGAAGAGAGGGGGAGAGGGCCCCCCUUCUUCUUCUUCUUCUUCCUUGACCUCCUCCCUAGAUGGGAGAAGGGUUUCCCCUCUGGUCCUUGGUCUCCAUGGCAUGGGAGGGGCGAGAGCCCCUCCGAGAUUGGAUCUGUCUCUCUGUCUCUCUCUGUUUCUGCGUUCUGGUUUUCUGCCCUUUCACCGUUUCGUAUAUAUAUGGAGAUCCGUAACUCCGAUUGGAUUGAAACCUUCACCCAGAUUUUUCUCCAAAAAUUUGCUUUCUUGCGGCAAAAGAAGGGCAUCAACCGCCUUACGGGUCCCACGAGGGUCAAGGCGCGCCCAGGGGGUGGGGCGCGCCCCCCUACCUCGUGCCUCCCUCGGGCACCGUCUCGCGUGGAUUUUCCUUCCCAUAUUCUCCGAAUAUUCAAAAAAUAAUCUCCGUCCGUUUUUAUCCCGUUUGGACUCCGUUUGAUAUGGAUAUUCUGCGAAACAAAAACAUGCAACAAACAGGAACUGGCAUUGGGCACUGGAUCAAUAUGUUAGUCCCCAAAAAUAGUAUAAAAAGUUGCCAAAAGUAUAUGAAAGUUGUAGAAUAUUGGCAUGGAACAAUCAAAAAUUAUAGAUACGACGGAGACGUAUCACAUGGCAAGGCACACAAUAGGUCUAGUACACAGCAUGGCAUACUUUAUAGAACCUAUGACUGAGGCAUAGGGAAUGACUUUCAUUCUCUCUAUAUAUUCUGCCUUGGUCGGGUUUUGAGUCUAACUCAUGUUCACACCUUGUUACACAGGCAAGAACCCUUUCUUUGACUGAUCCAUUUUGAACUUCUUCAAAACUUUGUCAAGGUAUGUGCUUUGUGAAAGUCCUAUUAAGCGUCUCGAUCUAUCCCUAUAGAUCUUGAUGCCCAAUAUAUAAGCAGCUUCACCGAGGCCUUUCAAUGAAAAAUUCUUAUUCAAGUAUCCUUUUAUGUUAUCCAGAAAUUCUAUAUUAUUUCCAAUCAACAACAUGUCAUCCACAUAUAAUAUUACAAAUGCUACAGAGCUCCCACUCACUUUCUUGUCAAUACAGGCUUCGCCAUAAGUCUGUAUAUAACCAUAUGCUUUGAUCACCUCAUCAAAACAUAUGUUCAACUACGAGAUGCUUGCACCAGUCCAUAGAUGGAUCGCUGGAGUUUGCACACUUUGUUAGCACCAUUAGGAUCGACAAAACCUUCUGGUUGCAUCAUAUACAACUCUUCUUUAAGAAAUCUAUUAAGGAAUGCAGUUUUGACGUCCAUUUGCCAAAUUUCAUAAUUAUAAAAUGCGGCAAUUGCUAACAUGAUUUGGAAUGACUUAAGCAUCGCUACGGGUGAGAAGGUCUCAUCAUAGUCAACCCUUGAACUUGUCAAAAACCUUUCGCGACAAGUCGAGCUUUGUAGAUGGUGACAUUACCAUCAGCGUCUGUCUUCUUCUUGAAGAUCCAUUUAUUCUCAAUGGCUUGCCGAUCAUCGGGCAAGUCCACCAAAGUCCACACUUUGUUCUCAUACAUGGAUCCUAUCUCAGAUUUCAUGGCCUCAAGCCAUUUAUCAAAAUCUGGCCUCAUCAUAGCUCCUUCAUAGUUCGUAGGUUCGUCAUGGUCUAGUAACAUGAUUUCCAGGACAGGAUUACCAUACCACUCUGGUGCGGAAUGUGCUCUAUUCGACCUACGAGGUCCAGUAGCAUCUUGAUCAGAAGUUUCAUGAUCAUCAUCAUUAGCUUCCUCUCUAGUUGGUGUAGGCAUCACGGGAAUGGAUUUCUCUGAUGUGCUACUUUCCAAAUUGAGAGAAGGUACAAUUACCUCAUCAAGUUCUACUUUCCUCUCACUCACUUCUUUUGAGAGAAACUCAUUCUCUAGAAAGGACCCAUUCUUAGCAACAAAGAUCUUGCCUUCGGAUAUGUGGUAGAAGGUGUACCCAAUUGUUUCCUUAGGGUAUCCUAUGAAGACGCACUUCUCCAAUUUAGGUUCGAGCUUAUCAGGCUGAAGCCUUUUGACAUAAGCAUCGCAUCCCCAAACUUUAAGAAACGACAGCUUAGGUUUCUUGCCAAACCACAGUUCAUACGGUGUCAUCUCAACGGAUUUAGACGGUGCCCUAUUUAGCGUGAAUGUAGUUGUCUCUAAUGCAUAACCCCAAAAGGAUAGUGGUAAAUCGGUAAGAGACAUCAUAGAAUGCACCAUAUCUAAUAAAGUACGGUUACGACGUUCGGACACACCAUUACGUUGUGGUGUUCCAGGUGGCGUGAGUUGUGAAACUAUUCCACAUUGUUUUAAAUGAAGCCAAACUCGUAACUCAAAUAUUCGCCUCCGCAAUCACAUCAUAGAAACUUUAUUUUCUUAUUAUGAUGAUUCCCCACUUCACUCUGAAAUUCUUUGAACUUUUCAAAUGUUUCAGACUUGUGUUUCAUUAAGUAGACAUACCCAUAUCUACUCAAAUCAUCUGUGAAGGUCAGAAAAUAACGGUACCCGCCGCGUGCUUCAACACUAAUCGGACCGCCGCUACCUCUUGAGCAUGCGUUGUUUUUCCCUUGAAGAGGAAAGGGUGAUGCAGCAAAGUAGCAUAAGUAUUUCCCUCAGUUUUUUAGAACCAAGGUAUCAAUCCAGUAGGAGAUAACACGCAAGUCACCUAGUACCUGCACAAACAAUCAAGAAGCUUGCAACCAACGCGAUAAAGGGGUUGUCAAUCCCUUCAAGGUCACUCGCAAAAGUGAGAUCUAAUAAUGAUAGUAAGAUAAAUAUUUUUGGUAUUUUUGUUAUAUAGAUUGGAAAGUAAAGAUUGCAAAAUAGUAAAACGAGAUAUGAUGUAAAUAAAAGAUAUGCAAUAUAAUAAGAAAGAGACCCGGGGGCCAUAGGUUUCACCAGUGGCUUCUCUCAAGAUAGCAUAUAUUACGGUGGGUGAACAAAUUACUGCCGAGCAAUUGAUAGAAAAGCGCAUAGUUAUGAGAAUAUCUAGGCAAUGAUCAUGAAUAUAGGCAUCACGUCCGUGUCAAGUACACCGAAACGAUUCUGCAUCUACUACUAUUACUCCACACAUCGACCGCUAUCCAGCAUGCAUCUAGAGUAUUAAGUUCAUAAGAACAGAGUAACGCAUUAAGCAAGAUGACAUGAUGUAGAGGGAUAAACUCAAGCAAUAUGAUAUAAACCCAUCUUUUUAUCCUCGAUGGCAACAAUACAAUAUGUGCCUUGCUGCCCCUACUGUCACUAGGAAAGGACACCGGAAGAUUGAACCCAAAGCUAAGCACUUCUCCCAUUGCAAGAAAGAUCAAUCUAGUAGGCCAAACUAAACCGAUAAUUCGAAGAGACUUGCAAAGAUAUCAAAUCAUGCAUAUAAGAAUUCAGAGAAGAACCAAAUAUUAUUCAUAGACAAUCUUGAUCAUAAAUCCACAAUUCAUCGGAUCUCGGCAAACACACCGCAAAAGAGUAUUACAUCGAAUAGAUCUCCAAGAACAUCGAGGAGAACUUUGUAUUGAGAACCAAAGAGAGAGAAGAAGCCAUCUAGCUAAUAACUGUGGACCCGAAGGUAUAUGGUAAACUACUCACACAUCAUCGGAGAGGCUAUGGUGUUGAUGUAGAAGUCCUCCGUGAUCGAUUCCCCCUCCGGCAGAUCGCCGGAAAAGGCCCCAAGAUGGGAUCUCACGGGUACAAAAGGUUGCGGCGGUGGAAAAGUGGUUUCGUGGCUCCCCCUGAUGUUUUUAGGGUAUAAGAGUAUAUAUAGGUGAAAGAAGUACGUUGGUGGAGCUCCGUGGGGCCCACGAGGGUGGGGGCGCGCCUACACCCCUGGGCGCACCCUCCUGCCUCGUGGCCGCCUUGCGGAGUUCCAGACUUCAACUCCAAGUCUUCUGGAUUGCGUUUGUUCCAAGAAAGAUCAGCGAAGGUUUCAUUUCGUUAGGAUUCCGUUUGGUAUUCCUUUUCUGCAAAACACUGAAAUAGGCAAAAAAAAGAAAUUGGCACUGGGCCUUCGGUUAAUAGGUUAGUCCCAAAAAUAAUAUAAAAGAGCGUAUUAAAGCCCAUUAAACAUCCAAAAGAGAUAAUAUAAUAGCAUGGAACAAUCAAAAAUUAUAGAGACGUUGGAGACGUAUCAAGCAUCCCCAAGCUUAAUUCCUGCUCGUCCUCGAGUAGGUAAAUGAUAAAAACAGAAUUUUUGAUGUGGAAUGCUACCUAACAUAAUUUUCAAUGUAAUUUUAUUUAUUAUGGCAUGAAUGUUCUGAUCCGAAAGAUUCAAGACAAAAGUUUAAUAUUGACAUAAAAACAAUAAUACUUCAAGCAUACUAAUAAAGCAAUCAUGUCUUCUCAAAAUAACAUGGCCAAAGAAAAUUAUCCCUACAAAAUCAUAUAGUUUGGCUAUGCUCUAUCUUCAUCACACAAAAUAUCUAAAUCAUGCACAACCCCGAUGACAAGCCAAGCAAUUGUUGCAUACUUUUGAUGUUCUCAAACUUUUUCAAUCUUGACGCAAUACAUGAGCGUGAGCCAUGGACAUAACACUAUAGGUGGAAUAGAAUGGUGGUUGUGGAGAAGACAAAAAGGAGAAGAUAGUCUCACAUCAACUAGUCGUAUCAACGGGCUAUGGAGAUGCCCAUCAAUAGAUAUCAAUGUGAGUGAGUAGGGAUUGCCAUGCAACAGAUGCACUAGAGCUAUAAGUGUAUGAAAGCUCACCAAAAGAAACUAAGUGGGUGUGCAUCCAACUUGCUUGCUCACGAAGACCUAGGGCAUUUUGAGGAAGCCCAUCCUUGGAAUAUACAAGCCGGGUUCUAUAAUGAAAGAUUCCCACUAGUAAAUGAAAGUGACAACAUAGGAGACUCUCUAUCCUGAAGAUCAUGGUGCUACUUUGAAGCACAAGUGUGGUAAAAGGAUAGUAGCAUUGUCCCUUCUCUCUUUUUCUCUCAUUUUUUUAUUUGAGCCUUUCUCUUUUUUUAUGGCCUCUUUUUUUCGUCCGGAGUCUCAUCCCGACUUGUGGGGGAAUCAUAGUCUCCAUCAUCCUUUCCUCACUGGGACAAUGCUCUAAUAAUGAUGAUCAUCACACUUUUAUUUACUUACAACUCAAUACUUAGAACAAAAUAUGACUCUAUGUGAAUGCCUCCGGCAGUGUACCGGGAUGUGCAAUGAAUCAAGAGUGACAUGUAUGAAAAUCAUGAACGGUGGCUUUGCCACAAAUACGAUGUCAACUACAUGAUCAUGCAAAGCAAUAUGACAAUGAUGGAGCGUGUCAUAAUAAACGGAACGGUGGAAAGUUGCAUGGCAAUAUAUCUCGGAAUGGCUAUGGAAAUGCCAUAAUAGGUAGGUAUGGUGGCUGUUUUGAGGAAGGUAUAUGGUGGGUGUAUGAUACCGGCGAAAGGUGCGCGGUAUUAGAGAGGCUACCAAUGGUGGAAGCGUGAGAGUGCGUAUAAUCCAUGGACUCAACAUUUAGUCAUAAAGAACUCACAUACUUAUUGCAAAAAUCUAUUAGUUAUCGAAAUGAAGUACUACGCGCAUGCUCCUAGGGGGAUAGAUUGGUAGGAAAAGACCAUCGCUCGUCCCUGACCGCCACUCAUAAGGAAGACAAUCAAUAAAUAAAUCAUGCUCCGACUUCAUCACAUAACGGUUCACCAUACGUGCAUGCUACGGGAAUCACAAACUUUAACACAAGUAUCUCUGAAAUUGACAACUACUCAACUAGCAUGACUCUAAUAUCACCAUCUUCAUAUCUCAAAACAAUCAUAAGGAAUCAAACUUCUCACAGUAUUCAAUGCACUUUUUAUGAAAGUUUUUAUUAUACCCAUCUUGGAUGCUCAUCAUAUUAGGACUAAUUUUAUAGCCAAAGAAAAUUACCAUGUUGUUCUAAAAGACUCUCAAAAUAAUAUAAGUGAAGCAUGAGAGAUCAAUAAUUUCUAUAAAAUAAAACCACCACCGUGCUCUAGAAAGAUAUAAGUGAAGCACUAGAGCAAAAUUAUCUAGCUCAAAAGAUAUAGGUGAAGCACAUAGAGUAUUCCAAUAAAUUCCGAUUCAUGUGUGUCUCUCCAAAAGGUGUGUACAGCAAGGAUGAUUGUGGUAAACUAAAAAGCAAAGACUCAAAUCAUACAAGACGCUCCAAGCAAAACACAUAUCAUGUGGUGAAUAAAAAUAUAGCCUCAAGUGAAGUUACCGAUAGACGAAGACGAAAGAGGGGAUGCCUUCCGGGGCAUCCCCAAGCUUAGGCUUUUGGUUGUCCUUGAAUUUUACCUUGGGGUGCCUUGGGAAUCCCCAAGCUUAGGUUCUUGCCACUCCUUAUUCCAAAAUCCAUCAAAUCUUUACCCAAAACUUGAAAACUUCACAACACAAAACUUAAUAGAAAAUCUCAUGAGCUCCGUUAGUAUAAUAAAACAAACCACCACUUUAAGGUACUGUAAUGAACUCAUUCUUUAUUUGUAUUGGUGUUAAAACUACUGUAUUCCGACUUCUCUAUGGUUCAUAACCCCCGAUACUACUCAUAGAUUCAUUAGAAUAAGCAAACAACACACGAAAAACAGAAUCUGUUAAAACAUAAUAGUCUGUAGCAAUCUGUAACAAACGAAUACUUCUGGAACUCCAAAAAUUCUGAACUAAAUUGGUGGAUGUGAGGAAUUUGUCUAUUAAUCAUCUGCAAAAAUAGUCAACCUAAAACCAUUCUCCAGUAAAAAAAAUGGCAUCUAAUCUCGUGAGCGCAAAAGUUUCUGUUUUUUUACAGCAAGAUUGCAAAGACUUCACCCAUGUCUUCCCAAAGGUUCUACUUGGCACAAACACUAAUUAAAACAUAAAACCACAUCUAAACAGAGGCUAGAUGAAUUAUUUAUUACUAAAUAGGAACAAAAAACUAAGAACAAAAAUAAAAUUGGGUUGCCUCCCAACAAGCGCUAUCGUUUAACGCCCUUAGCUAGGCAUAAGAUUUCAACGAUGCUCACACGAAAGAUAAGAAUUGAAGCACAAAGAGAGCAUCAUAUAGCAUAUUAAAACACAUCUAAGUUUAACAUACUUCCUAUUCAUAGGCAUCUUAUAGGCAAAUAAAUUAUCAAGACAAGCAAAAACUAGCAUAUGCAAGAAAGAAGUGAGAAACAAUAACAAUCUCAACAUAACGAGAGGUAAUUUAGUAACAUGAAAAUUUCUACAACCAUAUUUUCCUCUCUCAUAAUAAUUACAUGUGGGAUCAUAUUCAAAUUCAACAAUAUAGCUCUCACAUAAAAUUUUCUCUACAUGAUCCACAUGCAUGCAAAGUUGACACUUUUCCAAAAUAGUGGGAAUAUCAUUAACUAAAGUCAUGACCUCUCCAAACCCACUUUUAUCAAAAACUUCAUAAGAUUGAACAUUAUCCAAAUAUGUGGGAUCUAAAGUUGACACUCUUCCAAACCCACUUUCAGUAUUAUUGCAAACAUUAUUAUCAAUCUCAUAUUCAUCAUAGGGCUAAAAUAAAUUUUCAAGAUUGUAAGAAGAAUCACCCCAAUCAUGAUCAUUGCAACAAGUAGUGGACAUAGCAAAACUAGCAUCCCUAAGCUUAGGGUUUUGCAUAUCAUUAACACAAUUGACAUUAAUAGAAUUUAUAAUAAUAUCAUUGCAAUGAUGCUUUUCAUUCAAGGAGCUAUCGUGAAUCACUUCAUAAGUUUCUUCUUUCAACACUUCAUCACACUUUUCAGAUUCACGAAUUUCAAGCAAAACCUCAUAAAGAUAAUCUAGUGCACUCAACUCACUAGCAAUAGAUUCAUCAUAAUUGCAUCUCUUAAAGAGAUUAGCAAGUGGAUGAGGAUCCAUAAACUUUAGCAAGCGAAGACGCAAGCAAAAAGAAGGCACAUGGUAACAUAAGAUCGAACGGAAGGAGGGCGAAGAAAAGGCAAAGGUUUUCGAAAAUCGUUUUAGAAGUGGGGGAGAGGAAAUCGAGAGGCGAAUGGCAAAUGAUGUAAUGCGAGGGAAAAGAGUUUAUGAUGGGUACUUGGUAUGUCUUGACUUGAGCGUAGAUCUCCCCGGCAACGGCGCCAGAAAUCCUUCAUGCUACCUCUUGAGCAUGUGUUGGUUUCCCUUAAAGAGGAAAGGGUGAUGCAGCAAAUUAGCGUAAGUAUUUCCCUCAGUUUUUGAGAACCAAGGUAUCAAUCCAGUAGGAGAUAACACGCAAGUCACCUAGUACCUGCACAAACAAUCAAGAACCUUGCAACCAACGCGAUAAAGGGGUUGUCAAUCCCUUCACAGUCACUCGCAAAAGUGAGAUCUAAUAAAGAUAGUAAGAUAAAUAUUUUUGGUAUUUUUGUUAUAUAGAUUGGAAAGUAAAGAUUGCAAAAUAGUAAAACGAGAUGUGAUGUAAAUAAAAGAGAUGCAAUAUAAUAAGAAAGAGACCCGGGGCCAUAGGUUUCACUAGUGGCUUCUCUCAAGAUAGCAUAUAUUACGGUGGGUGAACAAAUUACUGCCGAGCAAUUGAUAGAAAAGCGCAUAGUUAUGAGAAUAUCUAGGCAAUGAUCAUGAAUAUAGGCAUCACGUCCGUGUCAAGUACACCAAAACGAUUCUGCAUCUACUACUAUUACUCCACACAUCGACCGCUAUCCAGCAUGCAUCUAGAGUAUUAAGUUCAUAAGAACAGAGUAACGCAUUAAGCAAGAUGACAUGAUGUAGAGGGAUAAACUCAAGCAAUAUGAUAUAAACCCCAUCUUUUUAUCCUCGAUGGCAACAAUACAAUAUGUGCCUUGUUGCCCCUACUGUCACUGGGAAAGGACACCGCAAGAUUGAACCCAAAGCUAAGCACUUCUCCCAUUGCAAGAAAGAUCAAUCUAGUAGGCCAAACUAAACCGAUAAUUCGAAGAGACUUGCAAAGAUAUCAAAUCAUGCAUAUAAGAAUUCAGAGAAGAACCAGAUAUUAUUCAUAGAUAAUCUUGUAUCCACAAUUCAUCGGAUCUCGGCAAACACACCGCAAAAGAGUAUUACAUCGAAUAGAUCUCCAAGAACAUCGAGGAGAACUUUGUAUUGAGAACCAAAGAGAGAGAAGAAGCCAUCUAGCUAAUAACUAUGGACCCGAAGGUAUGUGGUAAACUACUCACACAUCAUCGGAGAGGCUAUGGUGUUGAUGUAGAAGCCCUUCGUGAUCGAUUCCCCCUCCGGCAGAUCGCCGGAAAAGGCCCCAAGAUGGGAUCUCACGGGUAUAGAAGGUUGCGGCAGUGGAAAAGUGGUUUCGUGGCUCCCCCUGAUGUUUUAGGGUAUAAGAGUAUAUAUAGGCGAAAGAAGUACGUCGGUGGAGCUCCGUGGGGCCCAUGAGGGUGGGGGCGCGCCUACCCCCCUGGGCGCACCCUCCUGCCUCGUGGCUGCCUCGCGGAGUUCCAGACUUCAACUCCAAGUCUUCUGGAUUGCGUUUGUUCCAAGAAAUAUCAUCGCGAAGGUUUCAUUCCGUUAGGAUUCCGUUUGGUAUUCCUUUUCUGCAAAACACUAAAAUAGGCAAAAAACAGAAACUGGCACUAGGCCUUCGGUUAAUAGGUUAGUCCCAAAAAUAAUAUAAAAGAGCAUAUUAAAGCCCAUUAAACAUCCAAAACAGAUAAUAUAAUAGCAUGGAACAAUAAAAAAUUAUAGAUACGUUGGAGACGUAUCAACCGCAUACAUCGAUAUGUAUUAUAUCCAAUAAGUCAUCAGCUCGGUACAUUGUUCCGGAGAACGGAGUUUUAGUCACCUUGCCUAUGAGGCAUGGUUCGCAAGUAUCAAAUGAUUCAUAAUCAAGUGAUUCCAAAAGUCCAUCUGCAUGGAGUUUCUUCAUGCGCUUUACACCAAUAUGACCAAAAUGACAGUGCCACAAGUAUAUUGCACUAUCAUUAUCAACUUUACAACUUUUGGCAUCAAUAUUAUGAAUAUGUGUAUUACUACGAUCGAGAUUUAAUAAACCAUUUACAUUGGGUGUAUGACCAUAGAAGGUUUUAUUCAUGUAAACAGAACAACAAUUAUUCUUUGACUUAAAUGAAUAACCGUAUUGCAAUAAACAUGAUCCAAUCAUAUUCAGGCUCAACGCAAACACCAAAUAACUUUUAUUUAGGUUCAACACUAAUCCUGAAGAUAGAGGUAGUAUGCGAUGGUAAUAUUAUCAACCUUGAAAUCACUUCCAACACACAUCGUCACCUCGUCCUCAACUAGUCUCUGUUCAUUUUGUAACUCCUGUUUCGAGUUACUAAUCUUAGCAACUGAACUGGUAUCAAAUACCCAAGGGGUACUAUGAACACUAGUAAAGUACACAUCAAUGACAUGUAUAUCAAAUAUACCUUUGUUCACUUUGCCAUCCUUCUUAUCUUCCAAGUAUUUGGGGCAGUUCCGCUUCCAGUGACCAUUUCCUUUGUAGUAGAAGCACUCAGUUUCGGGCUUGGGUCUAGCUUUGGGCUUUUUCAUGGGAGCGGCAACUUGUUUUAUGUUCUUCUUGAAGUUCUCUUUCUGUCCCUUGCCCUUUUUCUUGAAACUAGUGGUUUUGUUAACCAUUAACACUUGAUGCUCUUUCUUGAUUUCUACCUUCGUUGAUUUCAGCAUCGCGACGAGCUUGUGAAUUGUUUUCGUCACGCCUUGCAUAUAUAGUUCAUCAGGAAGUUCUAGUAGCUUGGUGAUAGUUGUAAGGGCAUAUUUAUCCCUAAGAUGUUUUGGUGAUUGAUGACAAUUCUUUUGCGGACUAAUCGUGUGCAUUGAGUGUUUUCAGAGAUUCAUCCUUUUGGCACGAGACGAUUCCCUCCCCUCGGAGCUUGAAGCGAAGACGGUGUAGUCCUUUCGAAUUAUUUUGGUGGACUAGUUUCAUAGGGAUCACCGUACUAUCAAGAGGGGGUCCGCUUUGGAAAGGCUAGGGCGGAAUCAUCACGUACACUUCCUUUGCCCCCCUCCGAGCCUUUCCGCUUCUAUGAUGGGCUCGUUCCCCUUCUUAGUGUGCCCUCUCCGGUCCCAGCGGUAGUACCGCGGGCCGGAGCGGUAGUACCGCUUAUGGCUACAAGCGGUAGUACCGCUCUAAGAGCGGUAGUACCGCUGGUAGCCCCCAGCCGUAGUACCGUUGCGGUCUCGUGCUAGUACUGCCUCGAUUCGAGGGGUCUUUUUUGUGUCGGGUUUUACGGUACUAGCCGCGGCAGUGGGGGCCGUAGUACCGCUCAUAUGCGGUAGUACUGCCCUGACCACCGCGGUAGUACCGCUCUGGGCCCAGCGGUAGUACCGCCCGGGGGAGCGGUAGUACCGCUGUGAUCAGCGGUAGUACCGCUGCCUCCUGCGGUAGUACCGCUCUCUGCGGGGCUGGUGUGGGGGUAACGGUUGGAUUGUUCCCCCCACUAUAUUAGGAGGUCUUCCCCAAAGUUGACUUACCUCUUCCCCCAAAAGCUCCAUUGUUGCUCCAAGCUCCAUUUUCGCCCGAUCUCUCUCCCUAGCCAAUCAAACUUGUUGAUUUGCUCGGGAUUGGUUGAGAAGGCCCCGAUCUACACUUCCACCAAGAGAAAUUUGAUUCCCCCCACUUAUCCCUAGCAGAUCUUGUUACUCUUGGGUGUUUGAGCACCCUAGAUGGUUGAGGUCACCGCGGAGCCAUAGUCCAUUGUGGUGAAGCUUUGUGGUGUCGUUGGGAGCCUCCAAUUAAGUUGUGGAGAUUGCCCCAACCUUGUUUGUAAAGGUCCGGUCGCCGCCUUCAAGGGCACCAAUAGUGGAAUCACGGCAUCUCGCAUUGUGUGAGGGCGUGAGGAGAAUACGGUGGCCCUAGUGGCUUCUUGGGGAGCAUUGUGCCUCCACACCGCUCCAACGGAGACGUACUUCCCCUCAAAAGGAAGGAACUUCGGUAACACAUCCUCGUCUUCACCGGCUCCACUAUUGGUUAUCUCGUCCCUUUACUUUCGCAAGUUUACUCGUGUUAUAUCUCUUAUUUGCUUGCAUGCUUGUUGUCUUUGCAUCAUAUAGGUUGCUCACUUAGUUGCAUAUCUAGACAACCUAUUUUGAUGCAAAAGUUUAAUUUGGUAAAGAAAAGCUAAAAAUUGUUAGUUGCCUAUUCACCCCCCCCCCUCUAGUCAACUAUAUCGAUCCUUUCAAUAGUGACUAGAGAACUCUGUCAAUCACUAUCUUAUCUGGAAGAUUAACUCCCACUUGAUUCAAGCGAUUGUAGUACCGAGACAUUCUGAGUACAUGCUCACUGGCUGAGUUAUUCUCCUCCAUCUUGUAGGCAAACUACUUGUCAGAGGUCUCAUACCUCUCGACAUGGGCAUGAGUCUGAAAUACUAAUUUCAAAUCUUGGAACAUCUCAUAUGCUCUGUGGCGUUCAAAACGUUUUUGAAGUCCCGGUUCUAAGCCGUAAAUCAUGGCGCACUAAACUAUCAAGUAGUCAUCAUACCGAGCUUGUGAAACGUUCAUAGCGUCUGCAUCUGCUCCUGCAAUAGGUUUGUCACCUAGCGGUACAUCAAGGACAUAAUUCUUCUGUGCAGCAAAGAGGAUAGUCCUCAGAUCACGGACCCAGUCAACAUCAUUGCUACUAUCAUCUUUCAACUUUUCUCUAGGAACAUAUCAAAAAAAAUAUAGGAGCUAUAUCGUGAGCUAUUGAUCUACAACAUAGAUAUGCAAAUACUAUCAGGACUAAGUUCAUGAUAAAUUAAGUUCAAUUAAUCAAAUUACUUAAGAACUCCCACUUAAAUAGACAUCCCUCAAGUCAUCUAAGUGAUACAUGAUCCAAAUCAACUAACCCAUGUCCGAUCAUCACGUGAGAUGGGGUAGUCAUCAAUGGUGAACAUCUCUAUGUUGAUCAUAUCUACUAUAUGAUUCACGUUUGACCUUUCAGUCUCCAGUGUUCCGAGGCCAUGUAUGUACAUCCUAGGCUCGUCAAGUUUAACCCAAGUAUUCCGCAUGUGCAGAACUGUCUUGCACCCUUUGUAUGUGAACGUAGAGUCUAUCACACCCGAUCAUCACAUGGUGUCUCAACACGACGAACUGUAGCAACGGUGCAUACUCAAGGAGAACACUUUUACCUUGAAAUUUAGUGAAGGGAUCAUCUUAUAAUGCUACAGCCGUACUAAGCAAAAUAAGAUGCAUAAAAGAUAAACAUCACAUGCAAUCAAAAUAUGUGACAUGAUAUGGCCAUGUUCAUCUUGUGCUUUUGAUCUCCAUCUCCAAAGCAUCGUCAUGAUCUCCAUCAUCACCGGCUCGACACCUUGAUCUCCAUCGUAACGUCGUGGUCAUCUCGCCAACUAUUUCUUCUACAACUAUCGCUAACGCAUAGUGAUAAAGUAAAGCAAUUACAUAGCGUUUGCAUUUCAUACAAUAAAGAGACAACCACAAGGCUCCUGCCGGUUGUCAGAUAUCUUACAAAAACAUGAUCCUCUCAUACAAUAACGUUUAUCACAUCAUGUCUUGACCAUAUCACAUCACAACAUGCCCUACAAAAACAAGUUAGAUGUCCUCUACUUUGUUGUUACAAGUUUUACGUGGCUGCUACGGGCUUCUAGCAAGAACCGUUCUUACCUACGCAUCAAACCACAACGGUGUUUCAUCAAGUUUGCUGUUUUAACCUUCUUCAAGGACCGGCCGCAGUCAAAUUUGAUUCAACUAAAGUAGGAGAAAUAGACACCCGCCAGCCACCUUUAUGCAAAACUAGUUGCAUGUCAGUCGGUGGAACCGGUCUCAUGUGCGUGGACAUGUAAGCUUGGUCUAGGCCGCUUCAUCCCACAAUACCGCCGAAUCAAAAUAAGACAUUGGUGGUAAGCAGUAUGACUAUCACCGCCCACAACUUUUUGUCUUCUACUCGUGCAUAUCAUCUACGCAUAGACCUGGCUCAGAUGCCACCGUUGGGAAAUGUUGCAUGCAAAACAAAAAAAUUCUACGCACACGCAAUGAUCUAUCCAUGGAGAUGCAUAGCAACGAGAGGGAGAGUGUGUCUACGUACCCUCGUAGACCGUAAGCGGAAGUGUUUCACAACGCGGUUGAUGUAGUUGAACUUUCUUCGCGAUCCAACCGAUCUAGUACCGAACAUACGACACCUCCGCGUUCUGCACACGUUCAGCUCGGUAACGUCCCUCGCCUUCUUGAUCCAGCAAGACGUCGAGGUAGUAGAUGAGUUCCGUCAGCACGACGACGUGGUGACGGUGAUGGUGAAGUGAUCUCCGCAGGGCUUCGCCUAAGCACUACGAAAAUAUGACCGGGGUGUAAACGGUGGAGGGGGGCGCUGCACACGGCUAACAAUUGAUCUGGUGUGUGCUAGGCGCUCCCCUCCCACAUAUAUAGGUGGGAGGGAGGGAGGAGCAGCCAAAGGAGGCGCCCAAAUAGGAGGAAUCCUACUUGGGGUCCCUCACAAGCCGCUCCCCCCCUUUCCUUAUUUGGAGUGCGAGGAAAGGCAGGAGAGGGUGGCGCCCCCUCCUUUUCCUUUCUCCCAUGAGAGGAAAGGCGGGAGGAGCUAGCCCUCCCCCUUUUCCUUCCCUAGGGCUGGGCAAACAAGGGAGGGGGUGCACCAGUCCCCCUUGUGGGCUGGUAUGUCCCCUCCUUUGGCCCAUAAGGCCCAUAACUUGCUAGGGGGUGCCCGGAACCCCUUCUGGUGACCCGAUUCCUUCCCGGUACGUCCCGAAACACUUCUGAUGUCCAAAUACCAUCGUCCUAUAUAUCAAUAUUUACCUCUCGACCAUUUCGAGACUCCUCAUCAUGUCUGUGAUCUCAUCCGGGACUCUGAACAACAUUCGGUCACCAAAUCACAUAACUCACAUAAUACUAUAUCGUCAACGAACGUUAAGCGUGCGGGCCCUACGGGUUCGAGAACUAUAUAGACAUGACCGAGACACCUCUCCGGGCAAUAACCAAUAGCGGAACCUGGAUGCCCAUAUCGGCUCCUACAUAUUCUACGAAGAUCUUUAUCGGUCGAACUGUUAUGACAACAUACGUAAUUCCCUUCGUCCAUCGGUAUGUUACUUGCCCGAGAUUCGAUCGUUGGUAUCUUCAUACCUAGUUCAAUCUUGUUACCGGCAAGUCUCUUUACUCGUUCCAUAAUACAUUACCUAGUGACUAACUCCUUAGUCAUUUGCUUGCAAGCUUAUGAUGUGUAUUAUCGAGAGGGCCCAGAGAUACCUCUCCAAUACUCGGAGUGACAAAUCCUAAUCUCGAUCUAUGCCAACUCAACAAACACCUUCGGAGAUACCUGUAGAGCAUCUUUAUGAUCACCCAGUUAUGUUGUGAUGUUUGAUAGCACGUAAGGUAUUCCUCCGGUAUCCGGGAGUUGCAUAAUCUCAUAGUCGAAGGAAUAAGUAUUUGACAUGAAGAAAGCAGUAGCAAUAAACUGAACAAUCAUUACGGUAAGCUAACGGAUGGGUCUUGUCCAUCACAUCAUUCUCCUAAUGAUGUGAUCCCGUUAUCAAAUGACAACACACAUCUAUGGUUAGGAAACCUUAACCAUCUUUGAUCAACAAGCUAGUCCAGUAGAGGCUCACUAGGGACACGGUAUUUGUUUAUGUAUCCACACAUGUAUUUAGGUUUUCGAUCAAUACAAUUCUAGCAUGAAUAAUAAACCUUUAUCAUGAAUAAGGAAACAUAAAAUAACAACUUUAUUAUUGCCUCUAGGGCAUAUUUCCUUCAGACCUGUUAUACUCAUGGGGGGAUUUUGACCCCCAUCACCUCUUCUUAGCGGGUAAAUCCCCACGGAUACCCGUCCCCACGGGUAAAACUGCCAUUUUGAGUGGUGGUGCGUUUGGAAGUAUCUAUUUUACAUUUUUCUUGCUUGCAUAGUUAGUAAAAAUAUUUAUCUAUUUAUUUUGGGUUGGUACAAAUGUGACCAUUCCGUAGAGCAGAAAUAUCAAGCAGAUCAAGGACAAAAUGAAAAUGUCGAAUUGGUGUUCGAUGGGAGACGAAGAUAGUGCAUGACAACCCAAAUAAGCAAAGAAAGAACCAUUGCCUCACGAUUUUAAUUUUCAUCUCUAGAUCUGUCUGUGUUCACUUUAGUGAUGUGCACGACUGCUGACACACGUAUGGCGUGAGGAUACCGAUAAGGAUGAAAUAUCGUGGCACGAGAUUCUUUCCACGUCGAUAUCCGAUGACGUGCAUGGCUAAUGACACAAACAUGACAAACCAUAAAAGGUAAUCCGGCACGUAAAGACACAAGCAUCAUCGCACCGCAUCGACAGAGCCAGGGCACGCGUGUAUUUCAUGCAAUCAAACCGCACAUCCACACUCCACGCCAUCCCACGAUAAACACUAGCUCCUUCAAAAGAAUAUCCGAAAACAUACCAAACUCCUCAAAAAUAAAACAAAAUAAAAUUAGGUGCUAACUCUUAGUCAUUUGAAAUUUGCAUGUACGUUGGUCUCCUAAAUAUGAACCUUACAUGUCCUUUGGUAAACCAUAGAGCCUUUUCUUUCCUAGCAACCGCCGAGACCGUUUGUUGUAGGGCAUUUGGUAGUAUCUAUUUUUACAUUUUCCUUGCUUGCAUAGUUUUUAAGAAUAUUUAUCUAUUUUUAUUCUGGGUUGAUACAAAUGUGACCAUCCUACAUAGAAGAAAUAUCAAGGAGAGAUCACGGACAAAAUAAAAUCAUAUCUAAAUUGACGUGUGAUGAGGGACGAAGAUAGUGCAUGACAACCCAAGUAAAGCAAAGCAAAAGACCAUUUCGUCACAAUUUCCAUUUUUAUCUCUAGAUCUAUUUGUGUUCAAUUUAGUGAUGUGCAUAACUGCUCACACUCAUAUGAUGUGAGGACACCAGUAAGGAUGAAAUAUCGUGGCACGGGCUUCUUUCCACGUCGAUAUACAAUGUCGUGCACGGCUAAUGACACAAACACGACAAACCAUAAAAGAUAAACCGCCACGUAAAGACACAAGCAUCAUCGCACUGCAUCGACAGAGCAAGGACACGAGUGUAUUUCAUGCGAUCAAACCGCACGUCCACACUCCACACCAUCCCACGAGAAACAUUAUCUCCUUCGAAAGAAUAACAGAAAACAUACCAAACCCCUAAAAAGCAAAAUAAAAAUAAAAACAGGUCUUAACUCUUAUCCAUUUGAAAUUUGCAUGUCCCUUCGCCCCCUAAAUUUGACAGUCAAGGGAGUGAUAUAUUUUUCUUGAGAAUAAAUGUUACCGUGAUCUUAUCGUAGAGAUACUACUACUAGAUAGUUUAGGUAUCCGUCCACGUGUGCUUAGAAAGUGAUUGAGAUCGACUCUUGCAUCUCAGGGACAACUUUUGUCGACGAUAGAAAAAGGAAAAAAAAUAGAAAUCUAAUCGCAACACCCUCCAAAUCUGCUCAUCUCCACUGCCCCUAUAUAAACUGAAAAGAAAAGGAAAGAAAGGCAAAGGGGUCUGGUCUAUUUAAGAAGACCUGAAAUGGGCAAAUCGCAUCUCGUCGCACCGCAUUAAUCUAACCGGAUCACAAAUCAAACCAACCCACACCUCUCUCUGCCUGCCCAUUUCCUCUCUCCCUCUUCCUCCCCUCGCCGUGGGCUCCACCCGUCAGCCUGCCGCGUAGUAGAGACUAGAGAGAGAGAGCGACAAGGGAGAGGGGGCUAGCAGCUAGCGAGAGAAGAGAAGGAAAGGGCGCCGGAGGAAGGAGAUGGGAGAGGAGAGGAAGGCAGGGGAGCAGGCGGCGGAGGCGGCGGCCCGCGCGGCGGAGCAGGCGCGGGAGCUGCAGGACGCCGCCGCCGCGCUGCUCUCGCGGACGUGGGCGGAGGAGGAGGCGCUGCGCCGCCGCGCCGCCGCGCUCAGGGAGGACCUCGCCCGCCUGCGCAAGGCCGCCGCCAACGCACAAACCGAAAAGGUAACCAACCUUGCUGCUCCCAGGCUGCCGCGCGGGUCAUCCUCCUCUUUCUCCAAGUGUGCCUGGGCGUGGGCGUGUCGGCGGGUCGCCUAGGAGAUCGCCGCACGGGUGUUUGCUGCGCCUAGGAUUCCCAGCGCUGCAAGCUCGGCUCCGCGCCGCUGCGCUGCGCUGCUUCGCCGCGCCGGAUCACUCACUGGGGAAGAUCUACGUGCGUGCGUGGAACUGCAAUUUGGUGCGCUGUGGAAAUCUUGACUUCCGGCACUGCCAGGACGUACCCGUGGAUGCCUGGGGAGCCUUUGGGACCCUGUCUCUCUGAAUCACCGCGCCAUUAUAUGCGUCUGAUGCUGCUGAUUCAUUGAUCGUCACAAUGUGCAUGCAGCAUGCUUUUCUUCUGCUGAUGUGACUCUGGCCUCUUUGUGUGCUUGUGGCAGGUCCACGAGGACUUGGAUCGAGCGUCAUGCCUCAUAAGUGAUGGUGACAUUGCGGCGAUUCUCCCUAGCAAGGCGCAUGGUGAUUGCUGCUCUUCUUCAGCUUGAGCUUGUUAUUCAUUUUUGUCAUAUUCAUAUAUACCUCUCUCUUUUCUGAGGUUCUGUUCUUCUAAUAUUUUUCGGUCUUGGGGGUUUACAGGCACUUUUUUGAAGCUGUUAUUGGGACCAGUGAAUCUCCGCGCAAGGAAGGAGGUACAGCUCAAGGUGAAAGAGGAAUACAAUAGCUACAGGGUAUGUGUCAAAUUGUGUUAUCAUUGGUGAAAAUCUAAGCCGCUAUUCAUACUUUGAAAUGAGAGCUUAGCAUGAAGAUGGCUGCAAGUGUGUUUGAGCCACCAAUAGAUAAACAGCUUUGAAAUUUAGUUUUCCAUUUGAUCCGAGUACUCUUUUAGGGGGAAUACUAUCAUUUAAAUCUUCUACAAAGUGAAAGAUGUACCUGCUGAGCAAUGUCUGAGUUGUUUUGCAGAUAUAGAUGUUAGGUUUGUGGAGAACCGUGUACUGAUAUAGAUAAUAAUCAUUAGCUGGAAACACUUUACACUUAUUAAUCUUUAUUCCUCUCUUUUUUCAGGAUAGGACUGCCAUAGUGUUUCUUGGUUUUCCGAUGAUUCUGUUGUUUCUUCGGUCAUGGCUAUGGAAUGGAUGUUUUCCAGCAUUGCCAGUUCAGCUAUAUCAGGUAUGCUCUGAUGCUCGUUCAGGUAAUCUGGUAACAAUAUGAACUGAUGCUAUGUUCUGAAAGAUAAACUGACAGGUCAAUUUAUAUUAUGUUUAACAGGCCUGGCUGUUAUUGCUCUAUACAACUUUAGCUUUGCGAGAGAACAUAUUGCGAGUUAAUGGAAGUGAUAUCCGUCCUUGGUAAGGAACAAUCACUAACUACUGUGGAUCCAUUGUUUUUUCUUAAUGGUGAUUCAUUGCAUUUUAGUAUCGGCCAGUAUUUCCAUCUCUCAUUUGAAGGGGAUAUUAUGAUGCUUUGCCUUACCUGACUAAAAGAUAACAACAAUUCUGUUCUUCAAUACCUGUUUAUCCACCUCUGACAUGUUGUUUGCUGGCCUUCACUUGUUAUAAUUUUGUCUGUUCUUUUCAAAGUCAUUAACUCAUUAUGCAUAUAAUCACCAGUGAAGUUAGUUCUUUUUGGUGCAUUUGGCACUUAACAAAAGUUCAUUUUAUUCUUAAGGUGGGUAUGCCAUCACUAUUGUGCCAUGCUGAUGGCUCUGGUGAGCCUCACAUGGGGGAUUAAGGGACAACCUGAUUGUGCCCGCAAACAGGUAUGCUUAUAGAUCUUUCUCUUCUGUUCCAAACACGGAAGCAUGUGCUUAGCCUGUGCUCUUUUUGCAGAGAGGUGUCGAGUUGUUUCUGUGCUGGGCUGUGAUGCAAGGUUUUGCCAUGAUGUUGCAGAACAGAUAUCAACGUCAAAGACUAUAUACUCGAAUUGCUUUGGGGAAGGUAAUACAUUUUGAUAGAGAAGGGCAAAAAAACUGGUUCUUUCUGUAUUUACUCUGGUAGCUCUAGCCUAUUAUUUUCCUUAUCAGUAGCUCCUUUUGUGAAUAACUUCACGAUUUUUAUGAACUUUAUUCAACUGAAAUUAUCUUUGCACCAUCUAUCUUGUCGCAUGGCAUGUUCAGGCACCAUAUGACUUCUACUACAUCCAUUUACCGGUGCAAUCAUCUGCUGAAACUUUAGUCGAAGUAGUUUUCUUUAACUUAAAUGUUUCUUUCCGUCAGGCUAAAAGGAUGGACGUCGUGUGGGGCGAGACUGCUGGUGUUGAAGGCCAACUAUUGCUGUUGUGUCCCAUCCUCUUUUUCUUGCAGGUAUGCUGUUAUCUUUAAGCCUUUGACCAACAAUUACUCUGUUAGUAUAUACUUUAUGUGGCAUAAAAUUGAUGUCAUUAGAUUCGUUGUGGUUAUGAUUUUGUAUCACAUAAAUCUCUUCUCUCCUACUUAAAAUAAGGUUUUGUCGUCCACUCGUCCUUCGUCCAACCUUACAUACGUUCCCCCUCCUCUUCCCAUUUUGAUUUAUCCCCUCCCAUCUCAUGGUUUUUCCAUCGCUAUUUCCUAAAAAUUGCCUCAACUGGCUUGCCAAAUAAAAAUCUGUUUUCUUGGGUAAGCUAAUAAAUACUCCCUCCGUCCCAAAAUAAGUGACUCAACUUUGUACUUACCAAUAAGUGCUUAUCAAAUUAAAUCCUUUUUUUUCACACAAUCACAUUAAUAUGGACAGGUAAAUCAUAGGGUAACCUACUAGAAUGUUUAUGCUCCCAUUAUAACGCAUGGGCAAUUAUCUAGUUACAUACUAAUAGUGUAAGUGUUGGUCAAAUGCUCGUCUUAACGAAACAAAAUACACCAAGGGGUGGGAGAAGAAAGGGAAGGAGCGAGUAAUGUAAUCUGGAAUGGAGGGAGUAUUAACGGCUCGUUUAACUCCGCUCCGGGAGUGGACCAGACUUUAGCUUAAUUUUAUGGAGCUGCCAAAACCCAGCUCCCCAACUCCGCGGAGCGGGCAAGUUCCGAACAGGGCCUAAAUAUGCAAAUAUCAACCCAAGCUCAUGAAGGAUAGACUAGUUUUGUCUUCACAGUUCACAUUUGAUCUUGGCAUGAUGUGCUAAAUUUUCCUGUUUUACCUGUUUGAAUAAUAGUAUCAGGUCAUUUAUCUAGAUCCUGUUUUACCUGUUUGAAUAAUAGUAUCAGGUCAUUUAUCUAGAUUGGUUUUUCUGUGCAAUCAAGUGAGCAUUCUCGCCUCAUAACAUCAAGUUAUAAUAUUUCUCUCACAAAUGUACAAUGCCCGAGGCAAUUAUCUUGACUUCCCUUCUAUCUAUAGGUCUUUGAGGGUUAUGUUGGAUUUUUACUUCUUCGGACAGCUCAUAGAGGGAUCAUUCCUGAGUGGCAGGUAAGGAACUUCUAGCUAUUGAUGCAACCAUGAUUUAUCAUAUUGGACCCAUUUUAUAACCUAGCAUGCUGUCACAGGUUGUGGUGUGUGGGAUCCUGCUUAUUGCAAUGGCAAUUGGCAACUUUGCAAACACAGUGGACACAUUGAUGGUUAAGUCCAGAUUCAAAGCAAAGAUGAAGAAGUCCAAGAGCAAACGAGAUCUUGCUGCAUGCACGUCACCGACUCGCUCAUCGCUGACAAAUUCGGCAGCUGGAGCUUGAAAUGGAGACGCUCCCAUCAUAUGAACAUUGCCCAUAUUCAAUCAGGGGCUAUCAAAAUUGUAAAGUAUUAGUUUUUUGGCCACCAGCUCCUUGUGCUGACAGUCUCUGUCAAAGCUCAUACCCAUGUAAUCAUCAAACGACUCGGUUGCUUAUGGUGUCAGGUUGAGGGUAACUAAGAAUAAACUGUUCAUGUUUGUUUAUUUUUUUAUUAUGGACAUCGAGUGGGCUAGAUGAACUUAGGACUGCAAGGGGUAGUUUAAUUUUUUUCCUGGUAUAGGAUAGUUAUUUGCGAGACUUAGAUUGUCAAAAUCAAACAUGCAAAGUUGUAUACGAACUGUGACCCUGCCAAUUUCUUUCUCCCUGAGACCGUGAGGUUUUUUCUUGUUGAUAAGCUCUGGUACCGGUCUCUGGAUUUAGUUGAAUCGUCGGUCAAUCCUGUGCCGUGUUUGCCUAGAAGUUAUGGAUUGCAAUAGAUAGCUCAAGAUGGCACCACCACUCUGAAAAAUCAUCCAUGGGGGCAUUUUCUCAUUUCAAGCUGGCGAUCAACUGAAAUCAGAGAACAGGUUUGCUCAAAAGUCAUGUGCAUUCCUAGCACAAAUAUAGGAUUGAAGCGUGGGUUGCAUGAACAUUGGAUAUUUGGUGGGUCCACCUCUAUAUUAGAUGGUGGUUCACUUUUGUCCUCUUUUAGCUGAUUUCAUUUAGUUUUUUUAGAUGAUUUCAUUUUUGUCCUUAGUUGAGAGAAUUGGAAGAGUUGUUUAAAUUUGAGAUGUUGGCGUGAACCAAUUGGCAACAUUAUCCACAUUUUGAUCUGAGGUUGCAUGUAUAUUUUCCGCUUCAUUUAAAUGGUUAUCAUACUCGAGAGUUGGUUGAGGUCCCACGAAGUUGGAAGCUCUGCAAAUCCUAGCGUGCCACCGCUGUGACCAGACAAAUUGAUCACUAUGGAAUUUCAUUUGCCAAUGUGAACAUAACGGAGCUUUGUUAUCUCUAUCUUGGGAGUUUUAGUGAAAUGUACAUGGGAGUAAUGGUGCAUAAAGACAAGAUACAGUUUCUCAUAGUCUACAUUUAGUUGUGGUUCAUUGAGCUAACCUUGCUUAUUUUGCAAUGAUGCCUAGAUUAUGCAAUCAAACAAAUUUUGUGCAUAUAUAUAAAAAAUAUAAAAAAGACAUGGUGUUCAAAGGCCACUUUAAACAGACAAUCAGAAUAAUGAAUAAAAUUAAGCUUAACAUUACAUCUGCAUUGUACUUCCAUGCCAAGAAGAGAAGGAAGCCUCACUUUUCCUGGAAUAUACACUUGCCCAUCAAUGGGGGCCUACAACCUGGAGUUCAUCUGCAGAUCUACAACCUUAAGAGAAUGGGUGAAAAUAAUGGCAGAAGACACAUUUUUACAGUGCAACAAUACUUUGUUAACCACUUAAUUUAAUGGGUACAUUGUAGUAUUGCUCGGAACUGUCAGCACUGACUUCUGGAUGAGUCACAAACCUACUUCUAUGUUCUGGGAUGCCGGCCAAGCAACCGGCCUUGUACUGGGAGCAGAGAGCACUGCCAUUCUGGUUGGCCUUCCGCCUGAAGAAGCUCGCCGUCGACACCACAACCACUGUGGGUACUGCCCACUGGCCUAACAUUUACUUGUUUUACCUGCAAGUAAUGGUCGCAAAAUCGAGUGUCAAAGAUCGACAAAGGUAAUUAUUACUCAACUCAGCAAUCUACAAAGUGAGGCCGUAGAGUGAGUGGAGUCAUGAGAUGCUUAAUUGGGGGAGAAUGAUACAAAAGUUUCAAUACCUUGACAUAUUCCACAAAAGGGAGUAGAAGAUGCCAGCAAAACUGAUAGGCAACAAAGAAGCAAAAUAAUCUGAGUCUUCCACUUCCAUGUACAAGAAUCAAGUCCAGACUGCCAUCAUCAUGCUGAGCUUUUGGUGCAACAACUGGAGAAAAUAACCCCUGGGCAGGCUUGCAGAAGUGGUUACAGACCAAAAUGCCAAGAAACUCCCCUUUCAUCGUAACCCAAUUAUCUCCAGUGCUACUAUCCAUAUAAGUACCACUCUUAACCUUGCUGUCAUCAGAAAGCUGGCCAUGGCAUUUUUCAAUCGGUGACUCCAAGUUAGGAUUUUUCUCUGGUGAUAGAUAAUCCACCUCAAAUUUGUAUUGGGGCAGGGACAAAAACUUAAGAAUGCCAGCGAUGACGUAACGGAAGGGCCCAAGCUGCAGGCGGAAGUUUUCAGAUAAUUGCAGAACUGUAAAAAAAAGAGAGAAUAAAUUCAAGAUUAUAAGGUGACUAAAAAAAUAUCAUAGCUAUGGAACUGUGGCCUAGUGGGUAUUAUCGUCAACCAAUAAGAGGUAACUAGCAUGAGUGGAUCUUUAAAGCAAAUUAAUCUGAUAUCUUCUUCUAUGUCAUCAAAAUCAUAAAGUAAUUUAAUCUUGUUCCUAUCUCAAGGAUACAAACAGAAGUGUUCAGAAGAACAUUUCAAGUUCUCAAAUAUCUAGGUAAGAACCAUGAGCAUUUCUGUAAUCCCACAUAGUUAUCAAGAUCAAAGUAGAAGUUCUGUCAUUCCUUCUCGCUCUUGCUGUUGUUUUGUAUUAUAUAUGAUCUCCAAACAUCACAAACAAAGUCUCUUCUAUUCAUAGCUUUUUACCAACAGCCAAACCAAAUAAGAACAAAAUAUAACUUUGUUGCCGAAGACAAUACCUUCCACAAGCUUGUCUAACUAGGUUAUAAUACCAAGUUUUAACACAGACUAGCAUCAUUCGAAUCAGCUAUGCAAUAAGAGUCAAUCAUCACAUGCACCACUACAGAGCUACACGUACAGAAGAAGCAAACUUACCAUCAGCUACAAAACCACAGUAGGAAGCCGUCAAACCGAAAUGAGUAACUCCAGCUUGGAUCCAUUUUACAGCAAACACAUCAAUCGGUGUGAAACCACCCUACAGAAAUAUGAACUUACAUAUUAAUAUGCAGAGUCACAUGUAAAAUAUGACAACAACACACCACCUAGUAUGUCAAAUUGUCAACAGAACUCAUGAAGAAAAUUAUCACUUUCAACAUAACAUCACAAAAUUACCUUAGCUAAAGCAGUUGCUGCUGACACAGGAUCCCUGAUGCCAAGAACACUCCAUACUAAUGAAUUAUCGGAACCAGCAGGAACUAUCCCAAUAGGAAGUUGAAGCGCCUCUUUCAAAUCGUCUCUACCAAGUAAACCAUUCAAAACCUGUUUAAUGUAUGGAAAUAUGUAGUUAGCAGAAUGGGUACUGAUGCUUCUAUUUGUAUAUAAAUAAUUUGACAGGCCUGAAAUACAUGACAGUGGUGUGUUGUUGUCCAAAACAAGUACAAGGUGUGGACAAGUAUGAGUGCUACGCAGUUCAAACUUCAAACUUCAAACUUCAAAUAACAACCGAUGGAGAUCAGCAGAAAGUGAAACAGGUUACCAGCUCAGUCCAGUGAGAAACAUAUGAAAGGAGAUGAAAACAAUACCUCAUUUACGACUCCAUCACCCCCAACACAGAUAAUGCCUGUAACGAAUGGAAACAUCAGUGAAUUGAGCAAUGAAACGAAAGCACAAUUGCAAAAACAGAUACGCUGUUGAUAUUACCAUCAGGGCAUGUACUGAGGUCAACAGUAGAAGCAAGCACCUUUGCAUGACCAGCAUACGCUGUUUCAACAACCUCCAUCGCGAAGCCUGAAAGCUGCGCCAGAUCAAAAUUCAAACUCAAAAGCACUCAGGUAGCAAAAGAUAUAUUUUACAGGCAUAUGCGGCCAAUUAAAAACAGAAGGAAUUUUUUGCUGCUGUCUUGUGUAAAUUAAGUAUUUCACAGAACUAAGUAGAGGGCAAUACACUCUCAAUGGAUAGUGACAGAAACUACAACGAUCAGUACCAUGAAACUGAAAGGGAUUUUUUUGGUAGUUGAAACCAACAUAAACAUUUUCACUUAUAGCAAAACUAGGAACAUCUUACCUUCAGUGUUGCUUGCACUUUCUUGUAGAAAACCUCACGAGAGCUACGGAAUCCAGAAUUAGGGUUCAGGAUGACAAGGACUUUACGAAUAUUGUUUUGUUUCGCAUUUGAUUGGUCUUGCAAAACAUUAAGUGCUAAAUAGCUGGGAAGUUGCUCUGUGUAAGUGGUACUAAGGUCAGAGCAACAGUUUGAUACAGUCCGCCUCUGGGUGAGAAGGGUGGUCUGCAAUCGAGUAGAUUUCCAUAAUUUGCGAGGCAAAAGCAUCUGGCCAGCUUGCGGUGUUUGUAGCUUCAUGGUAUUAGAAUACUGAUAGUAGCUUCUUGGGCGGCGUGAAUUGUAGGAAAAGCAUUCGUUUACAGCACUACAGGACACCUGCAAUAUGAUGAUACAUACAUAAUAUGAGAGCAAGAUCUAAAGUCAACAGCAUGCUCAAAAAGGAGUAUUUCCGUGCUCAUGUCAAGAUGAAAACUUAAUGCAGCACCCACGUAGCAGUACCCUAAUAUGUUUUAAUAAGAUGCUACAUUAGUCUUAGUGAAGUAUUUCCCACCACAGCACUAUGAAUCAAUACUCCCUCCGAUCCAAAUUAAUUGACGCGACUUCAGUACAACUUUGUACUAGCUGCGUCAAUUAAUUUGGCUCGGAGGUAGUACUAUACUUGUUUAGAAAGGAAAACAAUGUAAUACUACGAUGCAUAGAAAAACAAUGUAAAAUUCAGUAGGAGAAAAGUUUGUGACCAUAGCAAACUCUCCAUUUGUAAUGAAAACUUGAAAAUUCGUGGUUACACGACAAUGAUCCAGCUCCAUUUAAGAUUUAACCCACGGAGAGGAAGGAAAGCCAGCAACUAGACACAAGAUACAGAUCUCAGAGCUAGUGGUCGAAAGUCUGGCAAAUGAAUCACAUUCCACAUGCAAAAUCACGAGUUAACUACCCAAAAUGCAGAGCAGAACAGUAGAAGAGGAGAAUUUUUUUUAAAGAAAAGUUGAACUACCCCUCCUAUUCUUCCCCCGUUCUUGGCGGCCCCGAGAAAGCAAGGACAUUUUCACUCAUCUGCACGCUCCAGUUCCCACUCAGAAACUAAAUAAAUCCUAAAAGACAGCUACGCCUAGGAGAUACAACAAGGAACAGACUUAGGGAAGCGGGAGGAAGGUUUUACCGGGGAUCGGACGAGGCUUCUGGAGCUCAUGAUCAAUCUGGACGCGAGGCAACCGCACACAGCUUCAGAUCAAGAAGCACCUCUCAAGUCUCAAGUUAACGGAGGGAGGGGCCGCGGCGGUGCUCGGGACUCAGCGGCGAGCGGCGGCGACGGAGAGGAGAGGGGAGAGGGGGAUCGCGGAGGAGAGGGGAAGCACGCGGUGUUUAUUUCGUGCCCCUUUCCUUUUGUUCGUUUGUUUUCUCCUGCCGACGAUUAGCGGCCGUUGGAUGAGGAAGAUGGAUGAAUAAGACUACGAUGGUUUGAUUCUUUGGAUGAGUGGAUGUACUGUGUAGGAGAGCGAUUUGGUUCAUGUGGGUUUGGACUCGUGCACGUUGUCCAACGCUUAAUCAGUGAGAACAUAUCUUCUUCUUUUUUUUCGAGAACUUCCAAUCUGCUCGUUAACCCUCGUGGUAGUACAAAGAACACUAAAUAAUUAUUAUUAUAUCGGGUCCAUUGACCACCUAGCGACAAUUACAAGCACUGAAGCGAGCAGAAAUCGCACCGCCGUCAUCGCUUCUCCUUCAUCGAAGCCUGACAAAACUUCUAGUAGACAGUCGGAAAGUCGUCGUCCUCAUGCCCCAUAGGACCAGCGCAUCAAAAUAGCAACCGUCACCGAUGAACAGAAGUGUCGGAAAAAUUCAACCUGUAAACGCACGAACGUAGACGCACCAAGACUGGAUCCAUGGAGAUCCACUGAAGAUCAGCACCGACUGAAUCCCACGAGAUCCGCUGGAGAGACACCUCCACAUGCCUUCCGACGACGUUGUACGGAUCGCCGGAACGAAGACUAGGCGGGGAAAACUUUAUUUCAACUAUAGGGAGCCACCAUUGUCUCGCUUUCCUAAGCAUGAUACAAAUUCUAAUCAACCCUAUAAAAAUCCUAAAAAUGGACCAGGAGCCCUCUCACCGGCAGAGCUGUGGUCCACCGUGCCUCCAUGGACCUAAGGCCACCAGAGACAAGGCGAAGACCCUCGUCUUGGGACGAGUCGCUCGUUAUUUUAUUAUAAAAUACAUGCUAGGCUUUUUUGAAGAACUUGAAAUAGGGCACUGGUUCGAACUAUCUCAAUAUGUGAACUAUCUCAAUAUGUGUGCUUUUGCAUCAUCAAAAUUAUUGUAGUCCUUAGAUUCUAGUUUGAUCCACUAGCAUUGCUACUUUUUGAGUUUGUGUUGGUUUUUCCCUUGAAGAGGAAAGAGUGAUGCAGCAAAGUAGAGAUACGUAUUUCCCUCAGUUAAAAACCUAAGGUAUCAGUUCAGUAGGAGGGACACACAAGUCUCCAAUGAUAGCACCUACACAAACAAAAACAAAUACUUGCACCCAACGCGAUAAAGGGGUUGUCAAUCCCUUCACGGUUACUUGCAAGGAUGGGAUCUGAUAGAGGUAGGUAUAAAAGAAAAAUAAAAGUGCAAAAUAAAGUAAAGAUAAAUAUAUUGCAGCAGGUAUAUUUGGGGUUUUGGUUUUAUAGAUCUGAAAAUAAUAUGAUAAAUAGACCAAGGGCCAUAAUUUUCACUAGAGGCUUCUCUAUAGAAAAAACGCAUACGAUGGAUAAACAAAUUACUGUUGAGCAAUUGAUAGAAAAACGCACAGUUAUGAUGAUAUCUAAGGCAAUGAUCAUGAAUGUAGGCAUCACGUGUGUGACAAGUAGACCGGCUCCUGCCUGCAUCUAGUACUAUUACUCCACAUAUCGACCGUUAUCCACCAUACAUCUAGUGUAUUAAGUUAACAAGAACGGAGUAACGCAUUAAGCAAGAUGACAUGAUGUAGAGGGAUAGAUCCAAUCAAUAUGAAUAAACCCCACAUUUUUAUCCUUAAUGGCAACAAUACAAAUAUGUGCCUCGCUACUCCUUCUUCCAUUACAAAGCACCUCUCCCAUUGCAAGAAAACUCAAUCUAGUUGGCCAAACCAAAUCAAUAGAUCGGAGAGAAAUACAAAACUAUCUUAAUCAUGCAUAAAAGAGUUCAGACAAGACUCAAAUAAUAUUCAUAGAUAAUCUAAUCAUAAAUCCACAAUCCAUCGAAUCUCAACAACCGCACCGCAAAAGAAGAUCACAUCGAAUAAAUCUCCAAGAACAUCGAAGAGAACAUUGUAUUGAAGAUCAAAGAGAGAGAAGAAGUCAUCUAGCUACUAGCUAUGGACCCGUAGGUCUGUGGUAAACUACUCACACAUCAUCGGAAGGGCAGAAAAGUUGAUGUAGAAGCCCUCCGUGAUCGAAUCCCCCUCCGGCGGAGUACCGGAACAGGUCUACAGAUGAGAUCUCAUGAGGACAGAAACUUGCGGCAGCGGAAAAGUAUUUUUGGUGUGCCCUCUGGUAUACUAGGAAUAUUUGAGUAUUUAUAGAGCUGAGAUUAGGGUUAGAGGUGCCACGGUGGGCCCACAAGCUCGGGGGCGCCUCGUGAGCUUGUGGCCCAUCCGUGCUUUUUUGGCCUCCUCCCGAAGCUUUCUAGGUGUCUUCUGGUCCAACAAAAAUUGUCAAAAAGUUUUGUUCCAUUUGGACUUCGUUUGGUAUUGAUUUUCUGUAAAAGACAAAAACAAGGGAAAAAACAACUAGCACUGGGCACUAGGUUAGUCCGAAAAAAUGACACAAAAUAGCAUAAUAAUGCAUAUACAUCCAGGAUGGAUAAUAUAAUAGAAUGGAACAAUAAAAAAUUAUAGAUACAUUGAAGACAUAUCAAGCAUCCAUCUGAUCUACGCACGAGAAUCCUCUAUCAUUGAACAUGCAUGAGUGCAUUCUAAGUGAUUUUUAGCUCACUCUAGAUGAAUCUGUAAGGACCGAAAGUAUACCGACCAGAGGAGGGGUGAAUAGGAGAUUUAAAAUUUCGUUCGAAACUUCAAAUCCCUCAGACCCAACAGUGGAAGAAAAUACAGGAGCAUGUACAUAGAAGGUAAAUAGGAGCGGCUACUAGGAAGAGAAAUGAGUUAGCUGCAAAUGACUAAGUGAAACUACUAAUGAAGGCAAUGAUGAUCUGCUUAGCAUAGUAACUGAGAACGUUCACGUAAACAAUAGUGACACAGAAAGAAAAUAUCUCAAGCAGCAUGAUAGACUAGAUGCAAAAGGAAAUCAAACAAUAAUGACAGAGUGCUGCUAGAGAUAUUUGUCAAAGCAUAACUCGGUUGAAUGACAAAGUAACACCAAAGGAUCAACAGGCGAGCAUACAAGCAUAUGACUUUAAGCACAACAAAUUGAAAUACACUAAAUAAUAUGCCCAUGAGACAGAAUAUAAGUAGAUGCAGAUAGGUGAUCAAAGAUAUCUAUCAAAACAUGUUGCACUAAAGAUAAACUACUGAAAGUAUUACAGUAGAAUAGAAUGACCCAGAGGUGCUCGAUGGCGACAGAUGAUUUGGUAAACCAGUCCACUCUUCUGUAAAAGAGCUACAUCUGGUGGGAGGGACUUGUGAUUGAACACAUGAGCAAACAUCUCUUCGUCCUAUUCUCCUUCAAUACGAAUAUGGCCAGAGUUCGGUUGAUUUCAGUCGGGGUAGAUACUUGUCGGUGAUCUCCAAACCUUUGACAGACUUACUUCAUGAACCACAAUAGUUGCUGAAGACUUUGAAUUGGUGAGGACAAUUACUCUUCGUCACUCAAGUCGACACCUAUCUGUCUACAGAGUAUGCAGCUCUCAAGAGUAAUAGAUACAAGACCUCUCCACUCAGAUAUACUGUGAUGCUCAACCACUACCUAAGUUUCGGCUCUUGAUUUUCUCUCAGUGGAUCUUAAACUCAAAUAUCUCGAGAGGGAUGCUCAAUCAAUCUCCUCAGAAUCUUAAGCGGAGCAGCCAACCAAAAGAAUAUUGGAGCGGGGUGGCUAUUUAUAGACGCAGCCUUCCCUGAUGGGAAAUGACCAUUUAGGGCACGCGGUCCAGACAAUGGCCAACCAACACAGCCUUCCCUGAUGGGAAAUGACCAUUUAGGGCACACGGUCCAGACAAUGGCCAACCAACACAUUACCAACGGUCUGAUUUUGAGCACAUGGCAACUCUACUUGAGGAACAAGAAAAGCUGACUCCUCGGUCCGGAAGAUAUCUUUCGCAGCCUGGUUGGCAAGUAAACUUUCGAUGCACAAAGAGAUUUCUGUUAGUCUUUCAUAGUAUUCAACUAAGCAUCACAACAUACCCAAGCUUUGAAUACAUAUACUAUAACACCCCCAGUGUCAUGCUACAGUGAUCUCACACUAAUGGUGCCAUGUCAUCAAGUUUAACUAAGCCUAAUUGCCACUUGAUACAAAUCUAAGCCAAUUUCAAAUUUAAGAUAAAGUCAAAUAAAUUAUUUCUUCAAAUAGUAAAACUAAAAUGUUCACAAUAUUCUAUAAAUUCCCUUCAUCAUUGUCAUGUUGGAACCAACAUUAUUUGACUCACCAGUUAAACCCUAGUAAUUUACGAAGUGGACCAACACCAUCUUAAUGGACCAUUUAAAUUCAAACAUGUUUUUAAACUUUCAAAAUAACCCCAAACUUUUUGUGGCAAUGUCUAAAAUUGCAACACUAAUUAUGGACCAGGAUCCCUAUUUUAUAAAAAUCAUUUACUAUUAGAAAUAAAAGCAAACAGAUUAAAUAAAAAGAAAGUAGAAAAGUAAAAGAAAAGAGAAAAGACUAAAUCUACUGUGCACUUACCGGCCUGCCACUACAGUGUCGGCCCAACCCAACCCCCCCACCCACGGCCGUCUUCCUUCCCUCUUCACCGAUCGCGGUGGAUGUCUGUGCGACGUCCAUGGCCGGAUCAGCCACGAGGCAGGCAUCCCUCGGGCCCCAUGCUGGUUAAGAGCGCCCCCCUCGCACCCCGCCAACCCUAGAUCCCGAGAACACCUCCUUCUCCCCCUCAUUCCCACUCUAGAAGCAGAGCCCCCGCCGCCGCCGCUGCGCCAUCAUCGUCGUCAUGGCCAGAGUUGUCCCAGAGCUGCGCAGGGAUGUCCACUAGCUUCCCCACGCUCGUCUUCUUCCACCACACCCAUCAAAUCAUGCAGAACCACGCCGGACCGCCACAAUCACCGGUCGUCUGCCCCGUUCACGCCGUCGAUCCGCUGCCACUUCUGCCUCCCCGGCUCCAUCGACCGCCAUGCCGGCCCUGCUGUGAGCCCCCGCUCCUCCUCGACCUCCCCUUGCUCCUUCCCGUGCCACGUAUGUUGGGGAAUGUUGCAUGGAAAACAAAAAAAAAA